AAAACAUUUCCACAAACUUAAAAAUCUCUCUCCCAAAGUUGGGCAGCCGCUCCCUUUCCAACUAGGGUUCUUCUUAAGGUUUCUUCGAGUUUAUGAGUAUAUCAAAGAAUUCUUCAAGGGGAAUGAACUGUAGAGAGUCAUAUGUGUUGGCAGCCAAGGUGCCACCACUCCCUUCUUCCAAAGAUUAACGUAAGAAUUUCAUGUUAUAAGCUUGGGUUCUCUUCCCCAUUUUCGUGUGAUGCUUAUGUUGAUUGUUGAUAAUUAUUCAAAUAGUUCAAGGGCAAACUUGACCUAUUCUUCCUUGUUUUAGACAACUGUUUGUAGGAAGCAUAUUUUUUAGCUAUUUGGCAAAUUGGAGAGCAAUUUUUAGCCAAAAGCAUAAUAGUGAAGGCCUUUUUGAGCUAAAAUAUAAUGGGGUCAGGUUGACCUAAUUUCGAAUAGUCUAUAGGUAUUUUGACUCGUCUGCCUAAAAGUUGUGUGUGCAUGUCUUCUGAUUUGGAAAUUGAGAUAUCAAAAGACUUUCACAUCGAGUGUGUAAGAGUCGUUGAUAGAAAUUUUCAAAUAGAACAGAACAAGCAAAACAAGAAGCUCAAAAUGUUAAAAAGAUCAAUAUGGGUUUGAUGAAUCACAAACAAGAAACAACAGUUCACUAUGACGGCUAGUCAUUCAAUACCAAAGAGAGACUGUUUCUGAAAGACCCGCAGCUCAAGUAACGCACACAUAGCAGUUUUAAAAAGAAAAGAAAAUACAAAAGCAAAGCGGACAUAGCAAAUAAUAGAUAACUCAUUGCAUAGCAUUCAGGAAAAAAGAACAGUAACAACAGCAAAAUAAUGUGAUAGUCUAAGCAAAGGAACAACAGGCAGUAACAGAAAUCAGCAGACUGGGUUAUAGCUUUAACAAGACAAAAUAGUAGAUUUCUUUUUAAUAAGAAAAUUGAAUCACACCACGUACACCACUAUAUCUGAUGUAGGAUGUAUAUCACAGUAUCUGCCUAUAUAAACCCUAAUAUCUUCAUCAAAUUUAAUCUAGAUCACUGGCAAUAUCAUAAGAGGCGACCAUUAUGGAUUGUGAAUGUAACUUCUACCGGCAUGUGGUAGCAUAAAUCCAUUAGUCCAUAGUUCUCACAAUUAAGACUAGUCACUCACUGUUAUGCUUUGAUAACAGAGUUGCACCUUGGUUCCAUUCCUAGUUUAGAGAAUUAUUGGAAUUCAUUUUUGCCCAUCCAACAGGAUCCAUCCUUACCGAAAGUUUAAUCAGAAAACUUUUUUCUUGAACUUGGCAAGUUUAAUCAGAAAACUUACUGAAUUCUUUUUCGCUCGUCUAAGAGGAUUUCAUUGUUAUAACAAAACUAUGUUUUUGCUCAUCUGAUAGAAUUUCCUUUGAAAGUUUCAAGUCCAUGUUGUCAAUAGGGAAUAUAAAAAGCCUUUACAAGUUAAAACUUUGGACAGGUAUCACAUCCUACUUAUAACAGAGCAUAAUUUUAGUUUUAAGAAGAUGUCUAACAAUGAUCUUUACCUGCUUACACAUGUAUUGCGUUAUGCCACUAAAGCAAGUUGAGAAAGCAAAGAGAAUUUCUCACUUACUCGAUCUGCCGCUGCUUGGAGAGUGAUAUGAUCUCCCCAUUCCCCCAACCUGGCUUGAACAAGAAAUACCUAGUUAAUGGUCAUGUCAGGUCUUCUUCAUGUAAGUCUAUAGAUCGAAACCAGAUUUCACCUCUUCAUCUUCUUCAGGUAGCUUUUGUAUUUCAUGGGAACAUAACUUUCAUAAAACUUUCUGAAAUGCUUAAGCUGAAACAAGUUAGAAACCAGAAUAAGAACAACAACGACAUACCCAGUGUAAUCCCACAAGUGGGUUCUGGGGAAGGUGGUAUGUAUGAGACCUUACCCUACCUUGUGAAGGUAGAGAGGCAGAAACCAGGAUAAGCACAUAUAAAUUAUAUAGAUAUAGCGCUUAAAUGUGAUUUGGAAUCACAAAUGAUCAUAUCGAUGAGGCACCAUUUCAAGCCAUUAGGUCAGCCUCAUAAACGUCCUAAAAAAUAUACUGAAUUAUAAUGAAAAAAAAAGGUUUUUCAGUAUCAACUUUGUGAAUAAGUAGCCAUCCUUCGAAAGAGGAACGCAAGGAAAACUCAAAGAGAAAAGAAAACCCCAUACUAACCAUGAAAUACUGUCAAAAAUAAUUUUUUUAAAAAGAAAAAAAAACAGAAAUAUUGUCAAAUAUGAUUGCUCUAACACUAAUUGACUUAACAACUUGUAAGUCACUGGACAUUAUCCAAUCCAAUGCACAAUAGUUUGAUCUAAUAGUAGCACAGAUUUUCAUGUAUAAAAUAAAAUAUUCAUGUGUUAUACUCUAAAGGAUGAAAAGUUGAUUGUUAAACUAGAAAGAAUGUCGAAACCAAACAGGUAAGUGCACAGCAGUAAGACAACAAUAACAAAGUAGUAGCUAAAUCUGGAUUUAAUAGGGUUGACAUUGUUCCUAUUCCCAGAUUUUACUUUGGCAUCGUUCCUAUUCCCAAAUUUUACUUUGGCAAAGGUUGAUAUCCUAUCUUUUGGGAUCGAAAUGAUCUAUAAGUUUAAGCUUAGAAGAAUACCUAGUACCUUUAUUUAUGUAUUUUCAAUAUUUAUUUAUAAGAACAAGGGGGACAUUCAGAGUUGCAACAACUAUAGGGGUAUCAAGUUGUUGAGUCAGACUAUGAAGGUUUGGGAAAGGGCGGUAGAGUUGAGGUUGAGGAGGAUCGUGACUAUUUCUGAGAAUCAGUUCGGUUCCAUGCCAGGUCGCUCGACUACUGAGUCAUCACCUCAUGAGGAGAUUAGUAGGAGCAGUUUAGGGAGAGGAAGAAGGACUUGCACAUGGUGUUCAUUAAUCUUGAGAAUGUAUGACAAAGGAGAUUCUGUGGAGGUGCUUGGAGACUAGAGGGGUGCCUGUGGCGUACACUAGGUCGAUUCAGGACAUGCACGUCGGCGUGAAAACUCGUGUGCGGAUGGUUGGAAGAGCUUAGGAGCAUUUUUCUGUUUUGAAUAGGUUGCACAAGGGAUCAACUCUUAGACCGUUUUUGUUUGCCUAGGCGAUGGAUGUUUAGACGUGGCAUAUUCAAGGAGAGGUGCUUUGGUGUAUGCUAUUUGUUGAUGAUGUUGCAUUAAUUGACAAGACUCGGGGAGGAGUUAAUGAUAAGUUAGAGAUUUGGAGACAGACCCUUGAGUCUAAAGAAAUUAGGUUCAGCGGGACUGAGAUGGAGUACUUGGAAUGUAAGUUUAGUGAUUUGUCGCAUGAAGCUGGAUUCACAGGCCAUUCAGAAGAGGUAGAGUUUCAAGUAUCUUGGGUUUAUGAUUCAAGAAAAUGGUGAGACUGACGAGGAUGUCACGCACCGUAUUGGUGCAGGGUGGUUGAAAUGGAGGCUCACUUAAGGAGUCUGUCUUAUGUGAUAAGAAGAUGUCUCCUAAGCUUAAAGGUAAGUUCUACAAAGUGGCAGUCCGACCGGUUACAUUGUAUGGAGCGGAGGGUUGGCUAGUUAAGCACUCCCACAUCCAAAAGUUAAAGGUGGCGGAGGAUGUUGCGAUGGAUGUGUGGACUUAUCAGGAGGGAUAGGGUUAAAAUUGAGAAUGUUCGGGAGAAGGUAGGAGUGGCUUUCGUGGAGGACAAGAUGCGGGAAGUAAGGUUGCGAUAGUUCGCACAUGUGAUGAGAAGGGGCACGGAUGUUCCAGUAUGGAGGUGUGAGAGGCUGGUUAUGGAUGGUUUUAGGCGGGGUAGAGGUAGGCCGAAGAAAUAUUGGAGAGAGGUGAUUAGGCAUGACAUGGAGCAGUUACAGCUUACGGAGGGCAUGACCCUUGAUAUGAAGGAGUGAAGGACACGGAGGGUAGAGGGUUAAAAGGUGGGAACANNNNNNNNNNNAAAGAGUGCUUUGUUUGUAUCAUGUACCUAUAUUUUCUUGUAGUCUCUUGUUCGUGGUGUUUUGGUGAUGCCUAUGAUUUUUGUAUAGCUAGUUUAUAGUAUAUAGGAAGGUAUGGAGGACGCGGAUUAGGGUAGAGGGCUAGGGUGUGGGAGUGUGUCGGUAAAUAGAAGGAAGCGUUCUUUUGUGUCUGCAGUUUUUAUUCGUGGUGUUGUGUGAUGUCUAUGAUUUCGGUUAGAUAGUUUUUAUUUUUAUCUUGUGGUUGUAGUAUUAUCUUGCUGCUAGCGGUGUUAGUUUAUUUUGCACUUAGCUUUUGUGUUUGUUAUACUGUUAUCGGUUCUAAGCCGGGGGUCUAUCGGAAACAGCCUCUCUACUUCACCUGAGGUAGUGGUAUGGUCUGCGUACGCUCUACCUUCCCCAGAACCCACUAUGUGGGAAUAAACUGGGUAUGUUGUUGUUGUUGUUGUAGUUUAUAGUAUUACCUUGUGGGUGUCUUGUUUCCUUUAUUGUCUAGCGGUGUGAUAUCCUUUUUUGUCGUUUGCUUUUAAGUUUACUGUUUUCGAUACUGUUACCUGUCCUAAGCCGGGGAUCUAUCGGAAACAGUCUUUACUUCAAAUGAGGUAGUGGUAUGGAAUGCGUACACUUUACCCCUCCUAGACCCAGUUUGUGGGAAUAAACUGGGUAUGUCGUUGUUGUUGUUGUUGUUCCGAUGUUAAACAAAAUUAUGUUUUCUUAGAAGCUCUUGUGUGCAUGAAACCGAGUCGUAGGGGUUGUAUUUUGUAACUUCCUUCACUUGAGGAUAUGAUUCUUAUGGUUUAAACUUAUACUUGUUUUAUUUAUGCAUUUAAUUACUUUAUCUUCAAAGUUUGUUUGGUUGGUGGUUUGGCUUACCUACCAAGGGGAGAGUGUAGGUGUCAUUCAAGACCCUUGUGAAUUUUGGGUCAUGAUAAAACACUUUUAAAUUGCUACAAGUUGAUACAAUCGCUAUGUUUUGUUAACCUCGGACAUUUUGACAUGGAAUUGAACAAGGAAAGAUUUUAUUAAUUUCUACUAAACCAAGUCCAUGAACACCAACAAUGACAAUGUUAUUACCUGUUAUUUCAUCUCUUCCUUGGGUACAGCUCAACCUUUCUUUUUAUUUGGGUACUGCUAUCAAACACAAGAUUCGUAAAGAAUCUUGAAAAUCUCAACACUUCCUCAUUCGAGUAAAGCUUUGAGUUUGCAGAUAAAUCACAAAAAUAUGACGACUGAAAUAUGAUUAAUAAUCAGAAACUGCACCCUGGUGAAACUGCCAUUGUCCGAAUUUCAGCCGCCCUUAUGCUUGUGGUAGAUAAUUGUGAUAAAAAUAGUCUGUGGUGUUUAAUUCAAACUUGAGAUUACAAAGAGCAAAAAAGCUACAACAUUAUUGCGCUGCGAAUUAUACUUCAGGUACAUAACCCUCAAAGCAGCAAUUGUAUCUGUUUUGAUGGUUAAAACUAAUAAUCUUACAAAAAUCACAUGAAGAGAAUGUAAGCUGGAAUAUGUGAUGAUCCUAGAGAAAAAUGAUCCUUGAACAAAAUGAUAGUAUCUUUGGUAACAUCUUAGUUUACAACAGAUAUGAAAAGAAAAUUUAAUACACCCGUACCUGUUUGACAACCUCCUUUCUCACAUGCUUAUGAUACUCCGGAUUAUGAUACAACUGAUCUGCAAGGGCUCGAAACUGUCCAAUAAGUCGAAGGAAAUAGUCACAAAUAGCACACGUCUGCCAAGUGCAGCAAUGGCUUGUAGACUAGUUAAAGUAGACUAACCUGGCAAUUCCCAUCUCCUUGAAUUUGAAAUUCAGCAAGUCCAUAUGCUGCCAACCUGAAUGAUAGAUAACAUUAACUAGAUGCAUUAACAUGAAACAUAUUCCUUACUUACAGUACCAGAAUAGUAUAGAGAUAAAAAGUAGUAACAUUUUUACUCUUUUAACAAUUUAUGGCUUUCUUCCAUAAAUUAUGAUGAAUCGCGAAAUGCUAUGGUUCUUACAUAUAAUUUCUGAAUUUAUACAGAAGUAAUUCGCGAGAUCAUGCACCUCUCUUUCCUACUCACCUACAGAUCACAAAUAAGUACUUUUAACUAUCCCCAGGAGAACGAUAUAUUGAGAGUAACACCCUAAAAACUGUGGGGCUCUGACACAUUAAGUAAAGUGAUACACAACCUGCUAGACAGCCUCCCGUGGUCAAGUGUGGCAUCAUUAGGAUCGGGGAUCUGCCCAAUAACCCUUGGAGUGUGCUGAAAAUAUAGUAAAAUAAUAAGCGGAAUAUGAUGGCUGGUAGCAUAUGAUCAUUCCAAGAAUUAAAGCAUGCACUGAAUGACUGUUCACAUCAAUGCAACUGUGUACAGAAACUCAUUAUAACAUACUUUUUUUAUCACGAACCUGGGAUGAAAACUCAUUAUAACAUAAUUCUAUAGACGAUAAACGAAACUUUAAAUUUACAAAACAAGCAAAUUCUUGAUAACUUACAACAUUACAAUAUUGACAAAGAACUUCAUGUACAUAGAACAUUUUCUUAUAAGUCUCAAAAUUCUGUCUAGUACAAGUAAAUUUAUGAAAGUACCGGGAUGGAGUCCAAAUGAGAGAGUCUCUUCGCAAGCUUUCCCCCAUACCUCGAAGCAAUUUCUUCUUCUUCAGCCAAUAUUUUGGCAAUGGCAUGAUCAUCCUCAGUAACUUGUAAACUGCUAUUCAAGCUAGACGCAGAACUCGAACUUUCUCUUGAGUUGCCAUAAUGUUCAGUCAUAUUACGAUCAACAACAACUCCAGAUACAAGUAUAGACCUAUACAGCAAAAGAAAUAAUUCCUAUACAAAAUUAGUAGUGAUACAUAAAGAAAAAAAAAACGAAAAGGGAAAUCUAGUAUUCUUUGCGAGGUCCGUAUGAAGAAAAAGAAUUGCAGUGGGGAAUAACAAUGUAUCUAUUUUGGAUCUAAAAGCUCUUUAAUCAGAUAAAAGACCCAUAAUCAAGAACCAUAAAAGAACACAUAUGAAGUACCUUUUGGCCCAGUGAAGGAAAAGGGUAGAUUUGAUUACAAGAAAAAGAAAGCAAUGAUGGGAUUUGAUUUUGAUUCAAGAAAAGGGAGAGGGGUGGGCUAGUAGUGGAAGCGAAGAGUUAGUUGGGUAGGGGAGUCUCGUGAGUUGUGAGGUCGGAACACUUGGAUUACAAGUCAUUCACCAUUUUAGUAAGAAAAGAUGUUACCUCCUCAAACUAAAAUUUGUCUAUCAUUUUACUCUUCAAAAAGGAAGACGCUGCACCAUUCAUGAAUUUAAGCGGGUCUCCUUUGUGCCUGUUUGGAUGGUGGUUUCGGGAUGGUACGGGAAUAUGUUUGAUUGUUUUCUAAAAGUUAUUGUAUUUUAUGGUAUCUUUUUUAUGGUUACAUGAAAUACCUUGAACUGUCAUUUGGUGGCAUAACUGUCAAAAAAUGAGCUGGUCCAAUUCAAUUCAGUCCAAUACUUAUGGGCCAAAGAAUUUAAUAGGUCAGGACGGGUUGAUCCUUCAGGCCUUAAAAUGUAUGGCCCAAUCCAGUCCUAAUAGGAUCACGGCAAUUGAUUUUUUGUUAAAUUUUCUUUUUCAAUUUGAAAUAAUAAAUAUGAUAAUCCAUUCGCACUUCUAACAUAUUAUUAUAUAAAGUACAUAAUUCUACGAUGAUUUAUAAUAUUUUUAACACCAAUACAUUGUCAGACAUUUGAAUUCAUUGAUUACAUUAUCUUAAUUAACAUCAACAUUCAUCUAAAUUCAUAUGAAAAUUUAAUAAGUUGAACAAUAUCAAAAAGCUAUAUAUCAAAAAUUAAUAAUAUAUAAAAUUCACUUAAAAAUAUUAUCGCUAUGAAUUUGGAUAAUGUUGUGCAAUUAAUUUCGAAUAGCUAUAACAAGUAUUUGAACAUUUCAUGAUGGGUGCAAUUUUUAUAUUUAUGAUUAGAAAUUUUAAUAUUUGCCAUUUAAUUCUAUAUGAUUAAAAUAUUAUGUAAGAUACUAGGUAAAAUUCAUUGAGUAGUCACUAUUUAUAUUUUUAAUUCUUUUAAAUAGUAUUGAAAGAUUCUUCUGGAAUACUCCAGUUUUGAAGAUCAUUUUCAAUUGUAGCAAUCGGAGUAGCUUGAGAAGAUAAGUUAACGGUGUUUUUAACAUGACUAUUCAUCAUUUAAACAAACUGUCUAGAGGCUGAUAGAGCAAAUAUACAUGUUUAUACUAGCAAGCAUAUUAAAGAGUCUAGUAUAAAAUAACGAAAACUAAUUAUGUAGAUACAUCUAUGGCUUAUGGAAUCCUAACAAGUUUUAAUGGCAUUACUCUAUAGACAGCUAAGUGUUUUCUCAGUGACGGGACCACCAACAAGGUCUAACGUGCUUUUCCUAAGCUUUACGACCUACUUUCAGGCUAACCAACGUCUUCACCGGAGAUUAAUCGGUUCUGAAAAACACUUGAACAGUAAAUAGACACCCCAUACUUGGAUUAAAAUCCCAUUAUAAGACAAGACAUAAGAACAUAAUUAAAGUUUAAGGUAAAGCAUACUAGUUCAAAAUAAUAUAUUGUUAUAUAAACAUAAUUUUGCUCAUGCUCUAGACAGAUUAUAUGUUUAGCUGCUCAUGCUGAACAUAUAAUCUGCCAACAUGGCUCUGAUACCAGAAAACGGAUCGUAGGAAAACAGUUAAUUAUAGCGGAAUUUAAAUAGAGAAAUUAAAAGUAAUAGAGAUAAAACUUACAAGUUUAUUUAGAAAAACAUUACAAGGUUGAUUACAAGAGAUUGGGCAGAGAGAAUUUCUAGAGUUGGGAAAUUUCUGAAUGCCUUCUCUAAAGGGUUUACAAUGCCUUAUAUAGGCAAGAAGGAAUAUAUUAAAGUACAGAUGGACGGCUAUGAUUCUACCGACAAAGUUAAGUGUUUUGCUUUUUUAAAGCAAAAGUGAUUGACUUGCUUUUGGAAAAGCUGUGGUUUGCUUUUUUGAAAAGCUGGCCAGAUGCUUUCUUGAAGAAACAGCUGUGGUCCUGGAUUCCUGUUAGGAAUAGUAAGUUGCCCUUUCGAAGAGAUAAUUCCGGUUCUUUGAACCUCUAUCUCUCUGAAGGGUUAUUCUCCUAUUCAUAAUAGGGAUCUAGGUAGGCCAUAGCUAUUCCCUUAGGAUCUAGCAUAUCGCCGUUUUCGUCGCUGCUUCCAGUAGACGAGGCUUCUGCAAUGAGUUGUAGUAAUUCUUCUGUAUUAUCCAUGGUGUCUGGACCAUCUAGUUUGGCUAAUGCUUGUUUUAAUUUCUCCUUUAGUGCCUUCUUGGUAGUGGAAGAACUAGGAGAAGCUGUGGCAGAUUUUCCUUUGUCAGGAGUUUUAGAAGUGGUUAGCUUGGGAGUCCAACCCUUAAUUUUUAUUUCCUUUGAUAAGUAUUUAAUCCGGUGUUGCUCUUCCUUGGAGAAGUUCCAGGAUAUAAUAUAGGAUACUCGCUUCUUGAUGAAAAACUUGCACAUUUGAACAUGCUCUGGUAGUGUGGAGCAACCUUCUUUAAUCAGGAAGUCGGGAAGUCUGUUAAGAAAUUGUUGAGGAAGGAUUCCUUUAGUUCCUCCGGGUUGUCUCAGGUUUUACUGGUAUGCUCAAACACUGGUGGGACAAUUAUGUCUCUGAGGAUGAAAAGAACCAAACAAAUCCACCAUUCAUAAAACCAUCUGGGUAUGAUAAAGCCAUGAUAGAACUAUGUGAAAAAAUCAUUCUCAUUGGCAUUUUAACAAACAAGUUGAGGGAACAUAUGUUUCAAAACCACAACUAAGUAAUUUGGGGGAUUCCAAAGUACCCCUAAAGCCAUUUACCAUUACCAUGCAUUCCACAAUAUCAAAAUCAUAUUAAAAGCAUGAGAAACAUCAUUAAACCAUUAGAAACAUUAUUCAACCAUGAACAUCCAAAACUCCCAACCAUUAUUUCAAAACAUAAUAAUAUCAUGAAAAAUCAUACAUUAAAACACAUGCUCUUUGUACAAUAACAAUGAGGGAGGAGUAACAUGCCUUAUAUACCAAGGAAGAUGGAGAGAAACCAUCCUUGAAAACAUUAAUUGAUAUGUUGAAGAAACCCUAUCCUUUUGUUUGAGAGAGAUUUUAAGAGUAUUUGAUUGAGAAUAAUAGGUUAAUGAAGCCCCAAAAUGUGUUUUAUGUCAUGGUAUCAAAGGGAGUUACAAAGGAUAAAUGUCUAGAAUGCCCCAAAUUAAAACUGAAAAAUUAUCACAGGUAGGUACGAGUUGGCCCUCCAACUCGUCACUAUAACAUACGACCGGUACCAUUUAACCGUCACCAGCACAGAUGGUUGGACGCCCCACAUUGUCUACCAUACAAUUUCUUUUCCCUAGCUCGUGACCAUACUAUACGAGUGGUAUGGUCCAAUUGUACCCAUGACAAAAUCCAAAGGGAAUGACAUGGACAACAUACGACUUAACCUUACCACUUGUACCCUAUCCUCGUGGCUCUUAGUGAGCCACUCCUACUUAGAGCCAAGUCAAGUUACUAUGUUACUGAUUCGAUUAUAGGACCGACCCAAAUGAAUUGUCACCACCCCUAAUGACCCGUACCCACCAAAUCGUAACCUCAACAGAAACCUAACCCCCCUUCACUAGCCUCCUAACAACUAGGGUUCCCUAACUCGUACCCAUAUCAUACGACUUGUAUAGUGUGUCGUUACAAGGAUAGUGAUUCCAAAAUGUAGGAAAUUUUCAAGGGCCAAAACACAGGGUGUUUCUGUUUUCCCCUAAUUGGAUCAUUCAUCCUCGAAUGAUGGGCCAAGGAAGUGAUUAGUAUGAUUAGACCCCUAAAUGUCUCUACUCUUACCUUUAAGAUAGAAAACAGAGAUAACAAGGAAAUAAAAAUUUCCUUUAACAAAGUCAGAAAACAAAGAUGCUAAGAGAAACACAUACCUUAAGCAUGAUUUUCCGAAACGGAGAAUAGAAAUGGAUACUUGGACUUCAUGUCCUCUUCCGCUUCCUAUAUAGCUUCUUUCACCUUGUGGUUUCUCCAUAGAACCUUUAUCGAAGCUAUAUCCUUGGUCCACAAUCGACGAACUUGACGAUCCAAGAUCUCAACCCGGAUCUCCUUAUAAGACAGAGAAUCCAAAAUACCAAUAUCUUUGAUAGAAACUACUAGCGACGAAUCACCCAUACACUUCCUUAACAUAGAGACAUGGAAAACCAGGUGAAUGGAGCUCAAACUAAAAGGUAACUCUAACUUGUAUGCAACAUUACCAAUCUUUCUCCAAACCAAGUACGGACCAACAUAUCGAGGACUAAGCUUUCCCUUCUUCCCAAAUCACAUCACUCCCUUCAUGGAAAACACCUUCAAGAACACUCUAUCCCUAACCUCAAACUCUAACUUCCUACGUCAUACAUCCAUAUAGGACUUUUGGUGACUUGAAGCCUAUCCCGAAUUACCUUUACUUUCUCUAUAGCUUGAUAAACCAAAUCCAAGCCAAACAUCUCUGCCUCACCAACCUCGAACCACCCAAUGAGAGACCUACACCUCAUACCAUACAACCUCAAAUGAAGCCAUCCCAAUGUUAGAGUAGUUGCUAUUAUUGUAUGCAAACUUUAUAAGAGCCAAAUGCUCAACCCAAAUACCACUAUAGUCAAUCAUGCAAGCACGAAUCAUAUCCUCCAAUGCUGAAUAGUCCUUUCUGCUUGCCCAUCCGAUUGCGGGUGAAAAGUAGUACUAAGACUCAUCUUAGUCCCCAAACCUUUCUGAAACGAUCACCAAAAGUAAGAUGAAAACUACGUACCACGAUCAAAGAUGAUAGAAAUAGGUACUCCAUACUGCUUCACAGUCUCAUGAAGAUACAACCUUGCAUAGUCCUCAACCGAGAAAUUUGCCCUUACUGGCAAAAAGUGAGCAGACUUUGUUAUCCUAUCCAUAAUGACCUAAAUUGAGUCAAAUUGAUUUUGAGAUCGAGGAUGACUAGUAAUGAAAUCUAUAUUGAUCACCUCCUAUUUCCAAUCAGGCAACUCAAUUUCUUGAUACAACCCUCUGGGCCUCAGGUGCUCAACUUUUACUUUUGGGCACACCAUGCACUUGGCCACAAAACUAGCUACAUCCCUCUUCAUAUUGUUCCACUAAUAAAUUUCUUUAAGGUCACGAUACAUUUUCAUCGAACCAAGAUGAAUAGCAUAGCGUUCCUCUGCCAAAAUUCUCUUGUGUAAUCCAUCUAUGUCAGGAACACAUAACUUCCUUUGGUACUGCAAGGUACCAUCACCACUAAUCUCAAAAGCCACCACCCUCUUCCCACCUACAUCACACUUGAUCCUCAUUAAAAUAGGAUCCAACACUUGUUUCUCCUUUACCUCAGCAGCCAGGGAUGACUUCGCUACCUCCUAAAUGAAUAUUGCUACGAGAAAGACAAGAGAAGGCUUAAAAACUACUCAAAACAGUCCACAAAUCAACUAAAACCCGAGGACCCCUUUGAGAGCAACUUUCGGCCAACAAUAACAACACAAGGAUUACAAGAUACAAGGUGUAUCUUAACACCAAAACAAUAACAAUGACACAAGAUGAAAUAAGUCACAGAUUCAACACAAACAUAAGGGAAAUUGCAUAGAAAAUAAAGAUAGAUAGUGAGACCAAGAUUAUUACAAGAUUAAGAACCAAGUGUAUUUCAACACUAACCCCUAAUGAAUGUAACAAUCAAAACCACACUCUUAUGGUGACCACCAAGGGAAUGAACUCACCUCAAGAUCUACCGUUUUCAAGCAAAGAUUAAUAUUGGCUUUUCCAAGCCCUAUGCUAAGGAUGGAUUUUCCAAGUCCUACAACUAAGGGUGUUACACUCUCAAAAGAGAGAAAAUAUGUCUUUCAAUUCUUUAUCAUUCAAAAUCUGCAAAGAAAUGAGCUAAAAUGACCUAUUUAUAGUGUAUUAAAAAAGAAGACAAAAAGACCACUUUGCCCUUAAUGAUAGGUGCGGCCAUGGUGUGUAAAUACACCAUGUGUAAUAUUCAAAAUGCCCUUAAUUAAGGUCCAAAACCGUGAGUCCUCUAUCUUAAAUGCUCCAAGCAAUCUUCCACACGUGAGAUUGCUUUAAGUUAUGCUCAAAACGGGUCCUCCAUGCAUGUUCUUGUAUUCUCGAAGUGACCAAGUCUUGAGCCUCUAUAUGUUGGCCUCCAAAGAUGUCAUCAAAAGAUAAGAUGGCCAUUUGUCCCAUAUCAUCUUCCCCUUCUUAAAAAGGAUUCGACCUCGAAUCCAAACCUUGCAAAACCGAAGAGAGGACAAACAAAUACAAACUCCUCAUGACAUGAGGGAUAGGGUUAGCAUAACAAAUUAUCUCAAUAUGCCAAGGUUGCACAUAUUUACAAUAUAACCAAGAAUUCUUUAAAAGAAAUAUUAAAAACUCAAUAAAAAAUGUACAAAAGAUUUGUUAUAGGAUACAUCAAAAGUGACACUUUGCUUGUCAUGUAGACCAAGCAACAAGUUUUGUGCACCAACAUCACCAUUUCUUAAUUUGGCACCGGGGUCAAAUGGAAAAAGUGGCCAUAGAUACGGGUCUCGACAACACUUCUCUUUCCCGUGGUCUACACCCAAACUAAAUGACAUACUCUCUAUAAUAACAUAUAUAUCAUCCAAAGCAAAUAGAGAGAGAGAAAGGUAUCACUCAAAUCGACUUCUACUAAGGUGCUCUCAUGUGUGUACUCACUACUAGUUUCCCAAUAAUCACCAUAAGUACUCUAAAUAAUGAAAUCACACAAAGUAGAAGAAGAAGUAGCUUCCACAACUACACAUUCCUUACCCUUAAGAGUACUCUCAUCUUCCAAGAAGAGAUUUCCCUCUUUAGGAGGAAUAUUGUCACACCAUAGUGGGUUAGCAUAUAGGCUAUAGCUUCCAAGGCAAGCUAUACUAUCAUUUUUACCACUAGGUUCAUUAGAAGUGUUUAAAUCAUCUUCAAACAAGACAUUAUACCUAAAAAGAGUGUGAUCUAGCUCACAGACAUAUUUGGAACAAGCAAGUUCCUCACUCUCUAAAUGAUCAAUAUCAAGUUUCAAGGAUGUUUCAAACAUAAUAUUACCCCAAGAAGAGCUCCCGGGUUCAUUCUCACUUUGUUGACCAACAUUUUUAAAUACUUCACUCAGUUGAGUCCUAUUAAGCACACACAUACAUACUCAAGUGGUGGACAGUUUUCACAAACAAGUUGAUCAACACCUAUUACACAAGACGAUGUACUUCCAUUCAACAUAUAGGCUUCAACACUAGGUGGACAUAAAUUAAUCUCACAAGAGGAGUCUAUUUUGUCAUCAAUAGAAUCAACUAGUGUAUCCACACUCACAAUAUGUACAUCAUCAACAAGAGGUAAGGAAUCAUUAGACUCAUAAAUAAGUAAGCUACUACUCACACUCAAUGGAUUACUAGCCAUUCAAUUAUCAUUCAUAUGCAUUAAAGUGUAAGAGUUAGCUAUUUUACCUUGAAGAUCUUGAGUAGACUCUUUCUUUCUGUGAGGUGAAGGUCCUCCAUAAGCUUGGGCAACAGCUUCUUUUUUACAUUGGCCGCCUUUGCUUGCCAUGUUUGUACCUACAUAAAUGUCCAUAGAAAUAGAAGGACAUCCAAAGUUAGCAUGGUUUGGUGGUAAUCCCUUCACUUCGCUAAACACAACCUCUCCUUUUUCCGCUCUCAGAUUACCACCUUUCACUCCCUUACUCCUCUCAAUCUUUUGUCUCUCAUAAUAAUUCGAAUUGGAGUAGGUAGGAACUUCUUUUUGUGGCCCGGGCAGAAUGUACGUCUUGAGCCAACUUCUCCAUCGGUCUCUUAUAAUAUUAGGCCAAUUUUGCAUAUUUGGAACUUUAUGUUGUGCAAACCAAUCGGUGCCCAAGCUCACAUAACCAUAGGUUAUGGGAAAAAUAUCACACCAUACCUCCUCAUGGUAAUUAAAUUGGAAGAAGAUAUCUUUUACCCUCUCGAUAACCUUAAACCUGUCAAAGAAGUAUGGAACAAGUAAAGGCUCGUAAAAUAACCCCAAGUAAUCAACCAUGGAUGGAACAAUGUAGUUUCUAUAGUACCUAUUAUUUAACACAACGAGGCAGCCCGGUAUCCCAUAAAUGGUCACCUUUCGGGAGUGUACACUCCUUCUUGGAUUAACAUUGUAAACACAUGAGUACCCCUCGGUUUUAGAGAUGCAUACCCUCUUCUUCUCAUUGGACAGCCUACACUAUAGCUAAUAUAACCAUUCACACUAUAUUGACCUUGAUAAGAAGUACUACAAAGUGGAUAAUAUGAAUCUUCACACUCCUCACGUGUACUUUCAUCAUAACUCUCAUAAGGUUUGCGAAUGAAAGGGUUAUACGAAACACUAAAUCUAGGUUCGGAGUGGGGAGUGCAAGACUCCUCACAUGUCCCAACUUUAUCAUAAGAUCCAUCACAAGGUCCUAUAUCAUCUCCAAAGUCACCAUAAGCACUAGGCACUUCAUUCACCUCAUUUUCUCCCUCAAAAUAGCAACUUUCAAAUCUGCCUAUAUUUUGAUCAUGGCUAUUUUCAUAGCUUCCGCAAUCUCCCUCAACUUCGUAGCCAUAAAAUCCCUCACUACAAUUAUAGUCUCCCAUAUUGUAGUCAUAAUAAUCCCUGGCUAUCGAAGUCAUGUUCCCCUUAUAUCACCCUUUAAACCUACAAAAUGAACAAACAAGAUUAGUAGUAAAGCUCCUCACCAACACUCGUAUUCACUCACUUAUGUGAUCCCCACAAUUUGGAGCAGCGCUAUUGAAAGUUGCUUGUAUUUCGAUAGUCAAUAGGAUGUCAAUUCUACUUAGUGGCCGGAAUAGAUUCUUAUUUGAUUGACUCAAGACACAAGACAAAAAAUUCUACUUACGAACUUGAAACAAAAAGUUACGACGAAUUAAAAAUGAGAAAAGCACACAAAUAAUGAAAACACGACAAAAACGAAUUCAAAAACUAAUUCACAAUCUAGUAGGUGAUUACUAGUUUCUAAUUAGUACUAGAAUCAAGAAAUGAAACUAACGAAACAAAGAAAAGAAACUUUAAAAUCUGAAAUUUGAGCUUCAAGGUUUUUUUGGAACAUUGAUGAUGUGGCACUUAGAUGACGUAGCAGUUUGGUGAUGUGGCAAUUUGGUGACAUGACAGUUUGCAAUUUGGAUUGGUCAAAUUUUUAAUUUGGGAGAGCGAAAAAUCAGCNNNNNNNNNNNNNNNNNNNNNNNNNNNNNNNNNNNNCUUUUUUCAAAAUUCAAAAGACUUUGACUUUCCUUGCACCUUUUUGGCAAGACACCUUUUUGAAAGCCUUUGUCUCCUUUCCUCUUUUGUUUGUCUUGGUAUGUGCCCUUACUCUCUUUUGGUAAGGAGUCUUUUUGAAAGUCCUAUUGUCCCCUUUCAUUUUUUGUAUGUUCUCUGGGAUAUGUUUCAAGACUAACAAAAGACUACACUCUUUUCUCCACUCUUUAAGAUCAAAUCACACCUAUUGAAUGUUUUUGUUCAACAAUAAAUGAUAAACAUGAAGAACAACAAGAACACUCAAAAGAUUGAAACUAAACCAAAUGAACUCCAAAUUGAAUGAUUUUGGAUUCCUUUUGCUCACGUUAAACUCCAUAACACAACCAUUCAUUUUUCAAGCCACAAUUUCAACAACAAGCCUUCCAAUUUCGAGCUUCACCUUACUAGUUUCUUUAACCUUAAACUCAACAAUGGUGAACAACUCAAAACCAUCCGGAUUAAGCUCAAAUCCAAGAUCUAGGCUCACUUAGUGUUAGGAACAAGAACCUAACACUAGAAACAACAAAACAUACUAAAAUCUCCAAAAUCUAAGUCUCAAAUUUCAGCUCAAACACAAAAAGGGGACAAAUUUCUUUUUUUUGAGAUUUUUGUUUUUUCAACACUUUUUUUUUAAAAAAAAAAUUCAACUAACAAGCCCAAUAUUGAUUUUGUUGGAACAAAAUCAAUCCUUGCUCUGAUACCAAAUGAUACGGGAAAGACAAGAGAAGGCUCAAAAACUACUCAAAACAGUCCACAAAUCAACUAAAACUCGAGGACCCCUUUGAGAGCAACUUUCGGACAACAAUAACAACACAAGGAUUACAACAUACAAGGUGUAUUUUAACACCAAAACAACAAUAAUGACACAAGAUGAAACAAGUCACGGAUUCAACAUAAACACAAGAGAAAUUGCAUAGAAAAUAAAGAUAUAUAGUGAGACCAAGAUUAUUACAAGAUUAAGAACCAAGUGUAUUUCAACAUAAAACCUUAUUGAAUUUAACAAUCAAAACCACACUCUUACGGUGACCACCAAGGGAAUGAACUCACCUCAAGAUCUACCAUUUCCAAGCAAAGAUCAAUAUUGGCUUUUCCAAGCCCUAUGCUAAGGAUGGAUUUUUCAAGCCCUACAACUAAGGGUAUUACACUCUCAAAAGAGAGAAAAUAUGUCUUUCAAUUCUUCAUCAUUCAAAAUCUGUAAAGAAAUGAGCUAAAAUAACCUAUUUAUAGUGUAUUACAAAAGAAGAUAGAAAGACCACUUUGCCCUUAAUGAUAGGUGCGGCCAUGGUGUGUAAAUACACCAUGUGUAAUAUUCAAAAUGCUCUUAAUUAAGGUCCAAAACCGUGAGUCCUUAAUCUUAAAUGCUCCAAGCAAUCUUCCACACGCGAUAUUGCUUUAAGUUAUGCUCAAAACGGGUCCUCCAUGCAUGUUCUUGUAUUUUUGAGGUGACCAAGUCUUGAGCCUCUAUAUGUUGGCCUCCAAAGAUGUCAUCAAAAGAUAAGAUGGCCAUUUGUUCCGUAUCAAAUAUAUCACCAUCCUAAGAGUCCAAGAGAUAAAUCCUAAGGUUAGCCAAAAGGUGAACAUCUUUCACCAACUCUCGCGUUCCUUCAUCCACAUGAGAUAGACUUCCCAUGGGUAACCUGCUAAGAGCAUCAGCGACCACAUUUGCUUUACCUGGAUGGUAGUAAAGACUUAUGUCAUAAUCCUUAAUAGAUCAAGCCAUCUUCUUUGUCUGAGGUUUAGCUCUUUCUGAGUAAACACAUAUUGCAGGCUCUUAUUAUCAGAAAAGAUAUCCACAUGCACGCCAUAUAAAUAGUGACACCAGAUAUUUAAUAUGAAUACCACAACUAAUAAUUCUAAGUCAUGGGUCGUAUAAUUCUUCUCAUGCACCUUCAACUGUCUAGAGAAAUAAGCUAUCACCUUGCCAUGCUGCAUCAAGAUGCACCCAAGCCCUACACGGGAUGCAUCACAAUAGACCACAAAGCCACCAGUUCCUUCAGGCAAAGUCAAGACUAGUGCCGAGGUCGGCUUAUCCUUCAUCUUCUCAAAACUAUCCUCACAAGCGUCUACCAUAAGAACUUUACCUUCUUCUAAGUUAACUUAGUCAAUGGGGCAACUAUAGAAUAAAAACUUUUCACAAACCACCUAUAAUAAUCAGCUAAACCCAAGAAGCUUCGAAUAUCAGUUGGAGUCGUGGGUCUAGGCCACUUCUUAACCAUAAUAACUCUCUGUGAAUCCACUAUGAUUCCCUCACUAGAAAUGACAUGACCCAGAAAAGUAUUAAUGUUCAACCAGAACUCACAUUUAAAAAAUAUGGCAUAUGACUGCUGCUCUUUAAGGGCUUAUAAUACAAUAUGGAGAUGAUUGACAUGAUCCCCCCACUCUUUGCAUACACCAAAAUAUCGUCCAUGAAUAUAAUGACAAAGAAUUCCUGAAACUGUCGGAAGACUUUAUUCAUCAAAUCCAUGAAUGCCGCUGGGGCAUUAGUCAAACCAAAAGACAUAACUAAAAACUCAAAAUGCCUGUAUCGAGUACGGUAGGCAGUUUUUGGGAUAUCCACUUCCUUAAUCUUUAGCUGAUGAUACCCAGAUCGAACAUCAAUCUUAGAAAAAAACUUAACACCCUAAAGUUUAUCAAAGAAAUCAUCUAUCCUUGGAAGAGGGUACUUAUUCUUUACCGUUACCUUAUUCAAUUAUCGGUAAUCACUACACAUCCGAAGGGAACUAUCCUUCUUAUGCAUGAAUAAAACUAGUGCUCCCAAUAGAGACAUACUAGGACGGAUGAAACCCUUACCUAAAAGAUCUUUUAGUUGCUCCUUAUGAUACUUCAACUCAGUUGGAGUCAUUCUAUAUGGAGGAUAGAGAUCGAAUGAGUGUCUGAAACAACAUCAAUCCCAAUUUUAAUCUCCCUAUCGAGAGGAACACUAGGGAGGUCAUCAUGAAAGACCUCAGGAAAUUCAUUCACUAUUAGGACAGAAUGCAAAGAAGGAUCCUCAAGUUAGAAUCUUUAACCAGGACCAGAUGGUGGAGACACCCUAGGAGAUUUAUCUCCUAGCUCUAAGAUACGAAAUGAACUUCCUCUUAGGAGCUAGGGAACCACCGUCCCAUUUAUAACCAGUUCCUUAGGGAACUUAAAAACAACCUUACGGGUUCGACAGUCUAGGGAAGCAUAGCAGGAGUGCAACCAGUCCAUCCCUAAUAUGACAUCAAAAUCAAUUAUAUCUAAUUUAAAUAGAUCCACCAAGGUUUCCCAACUACCCAUAGACACUACAUAGCCUCUAUAGACUCUUCUAGUCACCACAGAGUCACCCACUGAGGUAGAAAUUAAGAAAGGAUCUGAAAUAUAUUAGGGAUCAAAACCAAAAUGCACAGCCAUAAAUGGUGUCACUUAAGAGAGAAUGGACCCCAGAUCAAGUAAACAAUACACAUUAUAGGAAAAAAGUUUCAACAUGCCAGUAAUGACAUCAAGUGAUGCCUUAGACUCCUGGCAGGUAGUGAAAACAUAGAGUUGAUUUUGAUCAGUGUCAGAGCCAGAUGGGGCACCUUAGUGCCGGAGCUGAAGAGAAGGCAACAGGAACCUUGUUUUCCCUAGUGGCAACUUUUCCAACAGGAUAACUUUUAACCAUAUGCUCUGGAUGACCAUAGUUGAAGCACUUGUUCUUUACUUCAUUGUAGUAACCUAGAUGCAAUCGACCACAAAAUCUACAGGGAGGAUAUGAUAGAGCUGAUUAGGCCUCAUUGAGAUUGGACACCCUAUGCCUUAUAAUUAAUCCCACUAUGAAAAUGCCUCUCACCAGAUAACUUUGGGUAGGGAUAACUAGCCGUCGAGUAAGACCCAGAGUGCCAUUUCUUUUUGAACCACUUUCCACCAUCUCUGCCACUCUGCUAUUGGCCACCGUGCUGCUAAAAAAAUCUAAACUUCUUGCUCUGCCUAUCCCCUAUUUUGGUAUACUUUUUUUUCUCUUCUUCAACCUUCUGUAUAUACACAACCAACUUGGAAAUAUCCAUGUCUUUGUUCAAUAAGGCAACCUUACUCUCCAAAAUUAAGUCUCAAGAUAAUCUAAAAACAAACUUUCUCAUUUUAGACCUCUUGCUAGAGACCAACUCCGAAGCAUACUGAGAUAACUAGUGAAACUUCAAGACAUCCUUCUUGCCUGACAUCUUGCCUUACUUUAAGUUAACAAACUCUUCUAUCUUUGUUUCUCUCGACUUUUGAGGAAAGAAGUAGUUCAGAAAAGCACUAGAGAAAUCAUCCCACAGGGAUGACUCAGCAUCGUCACCCCUUGACUGCUCCUAUUCCUUACACCAUUAGUAGUUUACUUCUUUUAGUUGAUAGAUAAUAAAUUCUGCACCCUCCACAUUAGUAGUAUGUAUAAUAUAGAAGAUCUUUUCUAUCUUAUCAAUAAAGCCUUAAGGAUUCUCCUCAACUUUAACACCUGUAAAUACAAGAGGGCUCAACCUCAUAAACUGGCCAACCUUUGUGCCUAAGAAGAUAGAGUAAUAGAAGAACUGCGCUCAGUCUGAGAAGCUACCAACAUAGCUAACAUAUGAAUAGACUGACGAAACUCAGCGUUCAUCUCCUAGGCCUGAGGGGCUCGAGGAGAACUAAAGGGAAAUAAUGGAACUCCAAGAUAACAAUCAAGAACUAGACCCCUAGAUCAGGUCUGGACCCCAUAAGUAGGACAAAUCCAAUAAACAUUGCCCUCGGGUGGGAUGAAGGAGUUUCUUUGAACUUCAGAUCAUCGAGGAGGCAUGAUUUGAAAAGCGAACAAACAAGAAUUAGAGAAGAUUUUAGGACCUUAGACUCUACAGCUUGAAAACAGAACACAAAAAUGAGAAACAUUCCUAAAUGCCUCGUAGCCUCUCCAUUAUGAGUGUGGCAUGCUACACACCCUUAAAAGAGACUCUACUCAACACGAAUUUGUCAAACACCUAACUGACAAUAAACUUAGGGCUCUGAUACCAAUUUGACAUGACUCAAACCAUGGCAUAGUCGUGUCGGGCAUCUCAAGUCCAACUAGGAUCGGAGACCACCUUCAUUACCCAAUCAUAACUGCCCUACACCCUAUGUCGGAUAAAUUUCAAACAUAUAAUAAGAUAAGAAAUUUAAUAAUUUUAAGGAUAAUAUACAUAGUUUAAAACCAUAAUCCAAUAACCUUAAUCAAGUAUCCAACCGGUGUCCACCCCAAUGCCAAAACUAAUACCAAGGCUGAAACCAAUACCAACACCGCCCAUGCCCAUAUUUGUUUGACAAAUCCUCUAACUAGAAUCAAGUAACAUCCAGUCGGGGCAUGCCCUCGACCUUAGCCAAAACUUAACCAAAGUAAUAACAAAAAUAAAAGUGAAAUGGAGCUUUCUAGAGUAUGAAAGCUCACCACUUUAGUCUGACUCAAAGUUGUCCCCGAAUCUAAGUCACUUAGCGAGAGAAAUGGUAGUAUGACCAGUUCCUACAUUGCAUGGGGAUAUCAUGCCCGAAGACUGUUAGUGGGGUAAAUGUAAUGUCAUUAUUCAAAACCAAAGCAAAUAACCAUAUGCAAUCACACAUAUACAUAUAUAUCAUGCUGGGAUUGGGGAUCGGGUUUAACAUGUAUUUAAAACCUUAACCUGUUGAGUAGCUUUAUCGUCCUAAAACCAACCAUGGCUAUAUGGGUUCAGCUACCUCUACUGAAGGUCCCUAGUGUGUGUUGCCCCCACGACCGAAGAAAAAAACUUGAGAUGACUAGUACAUCUUCUAAAAUAUAGAGUAUGACAUUAUGCACACGGUCACUAAGUAAUACAGGGGUAGAUACGAGACAAUAAAAUAGCCAAGAACACAAGAAAAAACCGAAAGCAAGACAAAAAUAAGCUACGACAAAAAUAACACAAAUUGAGAAUAAGAAACAAGAUACAAAUAUACACAAAAUGCAUUAAGAUAAAGGGUUGUUGGUUUGACAUAAAGAGAUUACAAAACCCAAGAACCAAGACAUGUCUCAAAUGGAAAGACCCCUAAAUCCCGUAAUAACUAACAACAAACUCUUACGUGUCCCAAGAAGGAAUUCUCUCACCUCAUAAACCUAUAUUUCUAAGCUAAGAUUUCAACACAUAUAAGUACCAUACUUGUCUAGCCUUGUUUCGAUUUCGGUCUACUCUCACUAGAGAGGAUUUGUGAUACAAUAUUUCUUUUACAUUUCCAUAUUCAACAAAAACUAAUGAAAUAAACCUAACAAGGGUCUUCUUAUAGUCUAUUACAAAUAAAGAUAAAAUAGCCAUAUUUCCCUUAAUGAGAGGGGUGGACAUGGUGUGUUAAGAUACCAUGUUCAAUCUCUUAAAUACCCAUAUUGAAGGGGAGAUCAUGGUGUGUUUGAACUUAAUGAAUGGAUCCUCUUCAAUGCUCUCAAAAUUAUGAGUGGAUCAUACUUCAACACUUGUAUUUUUGGGUUGGCAUCAAGGUAAGCAUCCAAACAACCUUCCACACAUGGGAUUACUCUAUUGUGGGCUCAAAAUGGGUCCCCCAUGUGUGUCCUCGUGCCCUCAAUAUGACCAGAAUUGGAUUCUUUAUGUGUUUGCCUUGAAUGAUGUCUUCAAAAGCUAUGAAGACCAUUUGGCUCGUAUCAUUCUCCCCUUCUUAAAAAGGAUUCGACCUCAAAUCCAUACCUUGUAAAAUCAAAUAAAGGACAAACAAGCAUAACGUACUUAUGGCAUGAGGGUUAGGUUAGUGCAAAAAAUAACAUCAUCAUGCCACGAUGGUGUACACUUGAAAUAUAACCAUGAAGCCUUUGCUUUUAACAUGAAAAGCUUAGUGAAAAUGUCACAGAAAAGUGGCUAUGAUAAUUACCAAGAGAUAAUGAAACUACAAAAGUCAUAAUGGCAUCACUAGAUACAAAAGGUAAGAUUACCUUUACCUUAGGAGCCAUAAGACAUAAUUGCUUCAUCACCUCUUUAAAAGACCACAUCAAGAGUGGUGCCUUAAUUAAGGUUAAAUUCCAUGACAAAACAUAUAGCACAGUCACUCAAACAAGUAGAUGAAGCAACAAAUAUCCUACCUCCAGAUAAGUUCAUUCUAUAACUAUCAUGGAUGUCAUCAUAUGCAAAGAGGUAGUAUAGGAAAGAAUCAAGUACAAAGGUAUUAUUCAAGGUGCUAUCAUCUACAAGAACACAAUUUGGCCCAAAAGAUAUAGCACAUAAAGCACGCAAGGAUGGAAUUAGGACACUUAAGCACAUAUGGCUUCUUCUUUUCAUAGAACUUCCCGAGGGAAGGAACUUCAUCAAUGGAGUCAUACAAUUAGGGAAAAUUUAGAACCUACUAUGCAAUAAACCAUUCCAAGAUAAGUAGUUUUCCUAAAAACUUUGUUUCCCUCUACGAAUGAUUUUAAGAAUGCUCCCAAGAGUCACACAAGAUACUUCAACUUGUCCAACCUUAUGAAGGUGACAAGAAGUUGUGAACAUCCUUGGACUCUUCUACAAACAAGGAUUCAAUUUAGCAUUCAUAAGUUGUGGUCCAUGUAGAUGCAAGUAUAUGAAUAAUACCCUAAAAGAGAAUGAUACUUUUGCUCUUGAGUUUUUAAGAAUGACACUUUACUAGUCAUGUAGACCAAGCAACAAGUUGGGUGUGCCAACAUCACCAUUUCCAUAUUUGGCAUCAGGAUCAAAUAGAAUGAGUAGCCAUAGACACGGGUCUAGACAAUACUCUCUUGACCUGUAGGCCUUACCUAAACUACAAGAUAUACUCUCUAUAAUAGCAUACAUAUCAUUAAAAGAAAAUAAAGAGUAGAGAAAGGUAUCGCUUGAGUCAACUUCUACUAAGGUGUCCUCAUGUAUGUACUCACUACUAGUUUUCAAAUCAUCACCAUAAGUACUCCCAACAAUAAGGUCAUACAAGGUAGAAGACAAAAUAAUCUCCAAGACUACAUAUUCCUUACCCUUAAGAGUACUCUCAUCUUCCAAGAAGAGAUUUUCAUCUUUAGGAGGAAUGUUAUAACACUAUAGUGGGCUGGCAUAUAGGCUAUAGCCUUUAAGAAAGCUAUACCUUCAACAUCAUUCUCACCACUAGGUUUAUUAAGAGUGAUUAUACCAUCUUCGAACAAGAUGUUAUACCUAAGGAGAGUAGGAUCUACCAUCGGGGAAGAUUUAGAACGCACAAGUUCAUUCUCUAAAGGACAACCAUCAAGUUCCAAAGAAGUUUCAAACACAUAAUCAUCCUUACGAGCAAUAAAACCUAUAGGGUCUCCUUUACCAAAAGGCAAGAUCACGGGUUCACUCCUAUCUCUUUGACCAACAUCUUCAAUUACAUGAUUUCUAUGAGCAAAACUAACAAUAAGGCCUUUAUCACACAACAUGAUUAAAGAAUUAUCUCCAAUAUCAUAAUCAACUCUAUCAAUAUCAUCACUAACUUGAGACUCAUUAAGCACACCAUACACAUACUCAUGUAGUGAAUUACAUUCAUGAGUAAGUUUAUCAUUAUACACACCCUCACUAGUUGUUGGCAACUCACAUACCAACGUAGAAUCACCUUGGUUUACAUAAAGGUCAACUAGUGUAUGAAUACUCUUAUCACUCAGCAAUAGGGCCUUGUUCAAGUUAUAAGUAAUAACACUAGGUGGACACAAAUCAUUCUUACGAGAAAAAUCAAUUUUGUCAUCGAUAGGAUCAACUAGUGCUUGCAUACUUACAAUAAGAGUUCGGUCUUUAUACAGCCUAGCAAUACUAAGAGUAUCACAAAGGGAAGACUCAUUCUAUUCUCCCCUAGGUAAACCCGCAAGUACACCUUCUCGGAUACUACUAGCCACAUCACAACAUGCUAAGUUCAUAGGAGUAUAAGGAAUGACAUCGUUACCUUGUAGAUCACACGGUUUUGGUGUAGCUUGGGGCACUUGGUUAAGUGGAUCUUAGAAUAGAGGGAUCAUCUUUGGUAUAGUUUAGGAGUUUCUUCGACCUCUGAUGUGACCCAACCUUCCACUUAUAGUGGACAUAUCUCCCUUCAAUGAUGACAUAUCCUCUUUGAUUGAUGUUAUGUUGGUAAGUAACCUUUUAUAUCUCUGGUUGAUAUCUUUAAGAGAGGCCAAGAUAGUGUGGGAAGCAUUAUUAUCCAUGGUACCUAAGAAAGACAAUAAAAAAACAAACAAAUAUGUUAGCUCAAAAGGUAUCCUCUCCACACUCUCAUACUUUUGGUUACUGUACACUUGGCUUCACAAGUGUUAAAAGUUGGCUUAUAAUAUGUGAGAAGUUGAGGGAUGAGUUCUACUCUUCUUCGAAAUGGGUUUUUUGUUUGAAAGACUCAAAGAAAUCUUGCUCAAACUUGAGCCAAGAAACCACAGUGAAUUAUUAAAAUUUAAAAUUACUGGCCAUGUGGCAACAUUGGAUUGGGCAUUGGAAUUGUUGAAAUUUGAAAAAAAUUUCUUGUCUUCAAUUUGUAUUGAACAAUUUUCAAUUUAGAAUUGUGAAAAUCAGCUUUGGGAGAGAAGAAAAAAAGUUUGGAGCCUUUUUCAAUUUCAAAAAGGUUUGACUUUUCUUGCACCUUUUUGGCUAAACACUUUUUUGAAAGACUUUUGGCUCUUUACCUUAUUGCUUUGUCUUGGUAGGUGUUCUUUCUUUUUUUUGGUAAGACAACUUUUGAAACUCUUUUGUCUCCUUACUUCUUUGGUAUUUUCUUAGGAUAGGUUUCAAGAGUAACAAAGACCACACCUUAUUUUUCCACUUUUUAAGAUCAAACUACCCCUUUGAGUGUUCUUGCUCAACUAUACAUGAAGAACAACAAGAACACUAAAAAAUGAAUCCAAUCUAAAGGAGCUCUAAAUUGAAUAUUUUUGUUUUCUUUAGCUCAUUUUGAACUCCACAACAAUAUCAAUACAUGCUCAAUCCACAACAACAACAUGUACAAACUUGAAUCCACAAUAACAACAACCUUCGAAGUUCAAGAACAACUCAAAAAUAGCUCAUAAUUUAGAUCUAGACUCUAUUAGUGUUAGUAAAGAAGGUGAUAACACUAUAAACAAUCAAAACACAUAAAAAUCUCCUAAAUCUACGAUACAAAUUUUGGCCAAAGACCAAAAAUAGGAUAGAUUUCUUUAUUUUGAGAUUUUUGGUUUUUCAACGCCUUUUUUAUGUUUUUCGAGUUAAAAAAUCCCAAGAUUGCUCUAGAUCUCGCAGGAAUGAAAUCAAUCCUUUCUCUAAUACCAAAAGAUAAGGGGGUAGAUACAAGACCCUAAAAUAGCCAAGAACACAAGAUAAAAUUGAGAGCAAGAUGGAAACAAGAUACGGCCACAACAACACAAACCGAGAAUAAGAAACAAGAUACAAAAACACACAAAAUGUAAUAAGAUAAAGGAUAAUUAGUUUACCAUAAAGAGAUUGCAAAACCCAAGAGCCAAGACGUGUCUCAAACAUCAAGACCCUUAAAUACCGUUAUAACUAACACUAAACUCUUACAUGACCCAAGAGGGAAUUCACUCACCUAAAAAACCUACGUUUCUAAGCCAAGAUUUCAACACAAGUGAGUACCACACUUGUCUUGCCUAGUUUUGGUUUUGGUCUACUCUUACUAGAGAGGAUUUGUUAUACAAUGCUUCUUUUAGAUUUAAAUAUUCAACAAAAACUAUUGAAAUAAACCUAACAAGUGUCUACUUAUAGUCUAUUACAAGUGAGGAUAAAAUGACCAUUUCCCUUAGUGAGAGGGGCGGUCAUGGUAUGUUAAGACAUCAUGUGAAAUCUCUAAAAUACCCUUAAUGAAGGGGAGACCAUGGUGUGUUUUUACUUAAUGAAUGGCACCUUUUCAAUGCUCUCAAAAUCGUGGGCGGUUCAUACUUCAACACUUGUAUUCUUGGGUUGGCAUCAAGGUAAGCAUCCAAGCAACCUUCUACACACGAGAUUACUUUAUUAUAGGCUUAAAAUGGAUCCCCCAUGUGAGUUCCCGUGCCCUCAAUGUGACCAAAAUCGGAUUCUUUAUAUGUUGGUGUUGUAUAAUGUCUUCAAAAGCUAUGACGACCAUUUUCCUUGUAUCACCAAGACUACUCUCACAUCGGCAAACAUAAGUUUUUGGUAUCGGUCCCACUGAUCCCUCACCUUCCAUAGUGUUGCUACCCGACCCUCUUAAGCCCAAUUAAACCAUUUUAAAUAUAACCAAACCAUUUACCAAGGAGUCUUUUGUCUAGGAAUUAACUAUUGGUAUCGUCAUACAAAAAUUAGAGCUUGCAAGUCUAUCCUCUUAUGCUAUACCAAUACCAUUAACUAAGUUGACUCCUAAGUUUCCAGUUGAACCAAAACUAUGGCCAUCAAUUAUUGGGUAUGUCAUUAUGUUAACUUUAUUCCCAAGUUAUUUGCUAGUGCUCAACCCACUAACUAUCUUCGAAUGCUGUAUACCCUCAUAAUAUAGACACAUAUACCUCUACUUUUCCUGUACAGAGUUAGGUGGAUUGUCUUAAUUUAUCAGUUUAUUUUGGUAAAGUGGUGAGCUUCCAUUCUUCGAAAGACUUAGACAUUUCAUUUGUUCUUAUCAUUAAUUAAGAUUGAGUUUUCAUUAUCAUUAACAUUAUCAUUGUCAUUAUUGGAGCAUAUCCCAACCAAGAUUGGUUUUGGUUCUUUUUGCAUUGAGGUUUUAUUGGAUUACUAUAAAAUUGGGUGAUGUUGGUUGGAUGUGUUUGGUCAGUUGCCAGUUAUCGAUUAUAGACAUAUCUUUUAUUCUUUAAACUUAUCUUAUGCUAUCUCCUUAUAUAUUCAAAAUUCAGCCAUUGUUGGGCGGUGUAUGGUAUUUGGUUAGGUUUAAAGGGUGGUCUCCAGUCAAUAAUGGAUUAGAAAGGCCUGUCACAGCCAGGCCCUAGUUUAAGUUAUGACAAAGUUGGUAUUAGGGCCUAGGUUUGGUGUCAUUGGGUAUACACAACGAUGUGUUAAGUAGAGUCUCUUUUGUGGGUGUGUAGCAUGCCACACUUAUAAUGGAAAGGCUAUGAGGCAUUUAAGAUUAUUUCCCUUUCUUAUUGUUCUAUUUUGAGCUAUAGAGUCUAAGGUCUUGAAAUCUCCUCUAAUCUCUAUUUGUUCGCUUUUCAGAUUAUGCUUUCUAAAAGAUCUGAUACUUGUGAAAAUUCUUUUAUCCCGUCAGAGAAUAAUGUGGAUAGAGCUUGUCCUAGUCUAGGGUCAUUUCUUCUAAUUGCCCUAGUAAAAUUCCCCUAGUUCCCCUAGCCCUCCUCAGGCACCUCAAGCUAGCGUGUCUAAUAUUGAGUUUUGCUAGUUAAUUCAUUUGCUUACCCAGUUGGUGGCAGACUGAGUAUGUUACUUUUGUUGCCCCAUUCUCUGAGGUCACUAGAGUUGGCCAAUUUAUGAGGUUGGGUUCUCUGACUUUCACUGAUACUAAAGUCGAGAAAGAUCCUUAAAAUUUCAUUGAUGAGAUAGAAAAUAUGUUUUGUGUGAUGCAUACUACUAAUAUAAAGGUUGUGCAGUUGCUUCCUAUCAGUUAAAGAAUGUAGCGUAUCAGUGGUAAUGAUGAAUAGGAUCAGUCUAGGGGUAAUAAUGCUGAGUCUACUUUGUGGGACAACUUUUCUAGUGCUUUUCUUAAUCUUUUCUUUCCUUAGAAGUUAAGGAAGGCAAGGUUUGAGAAAUUUGUGAACUUAAAGUAAAGCAGAAAGACAAUAAUCCUUGAAGUUUCAUUAGUUGUAACGAUAUGCUCCAAAAUUUGUGUCUAGCAUGUGGUCUAAAAUGGGAAAGUUUGCUUCUGGGUUAUCCCGUGAGUUAAUUUUUGAGAGAAAGGCUGCCUUGUUGUAUAAGGACAUGGGCAUCUCUAUACUUGUGGUGUAUAUGCAAUAAGUGGAAAAUGAGAAGAAAAAGCAAGUAGAGAUGAGUGAAAGGUAGAAUACAAAUUUUUGGUAUUAAGAUCAGGGUAAAGGUUAGGAGGAGAGUGGUAGAGAUGGUAGAAAUUAGUCUAAGAAGAAAUAGGGCAAUUUUGAUUCCUACUCUAUGGAUAGUGCUUCUUAUCUAAGGCCAUUGGGUGAUUAUUGUUCUUAGAAUAGUGUUGGUUCCAAGACAAAGAGUGUCAAUCCAUAGGCUAGUGGGGCUUAGUAAGGUCUAUUAUAUCUCUCUUAUAGAUUUUGCAGCUUAGUGCAUUAUGAUAUUUGUGAAGAGAGAAGGAACAAGUGUUUUACGUAUGGUCAUAUUAGUUAUAUGAAGAGGGAUUGCCCUUCUAGGGUUUCUUUUGGGGAAAAUAAUAUCUCUGUUGCUACUUCGCUAGCUCUUGCAACAAAGGGUGCUACUUCUGAUUUUGGCUCCGGCACUGGUCGGAAUCGUUUGUACGCUCUUUUUGUACGCUCUCCCCGCUCACCAGGAUUUUGAGGCAUCCUCCAAUAUUGUUACUGGUAAGCUCAAACUUUUUUCUCGUUAUGUAUAUAUAUACUUGAUCUUGGGUUUACCCUUUCUUAUGUGACCCCUUAUGUGGCUAUUCAUUUUGGGUUUGGUCUUGAGUGUAUUCUGGAUCCCUUCUUUGGGUCCACCCGGUGGGUGACUCCAUUGUGGCUAAAAGGGUAUAUAGGGGUUGUGUAAUGUCUGUCAGUGGUAGAAAAACCUUGGUGAGUCUGAUAGAGUUAGACAUGUUAGACUUUGUUGUGAUUUUAGGGAUGGAUGGUUGUACUCGUGCUAUGCGUAGCUUUAUUGUCGAACCCAAAGGGUCAGUUUCCACUUCCCUAAUGAUUCGGUGAUUGAAUGGGAAGCUAGUUCCCUAGUGCCUAAGAGAAGGUUCAUUUCAUUUCUGAGAGCCCAGAAGUUAAUUUCCAAGAGGUGUCUCUACCACUAGUUCAUGUUAUGGAUUCUAGAUUCAAAGGUCCUUCUUUGUAUUAUGUCCCUAUGGUCUGUAAGUUUCCUGAGGUGAUGAUCUUCUGGUGUUUCUCCCGAUAGGAAAAUUGAUUAUGGGAUUGAUUUUUUUUUGGACAUUCAUCCUAUUUCUAUCCCUCCCUAUAGAAUGGCUUCAGAUGAGUUGAAAGAACUCAAGAAGAAGUUGAAAGAUCUUCUAGAUAAGGGUUUUGUUUGCCCUAGUGUUUCUACUUGGGGUUCUUUAAUUCCUUUUGUGCGUAAGAAGGAUGGGUCCCUUCGAAUAUGUAUAGAUUACCUCCAGCUGAAUAAGGUGACGAUAAAGAAUAAGUAUCCACUUGCUAGAAUCAAUGACUUCAAUCAGAUUUAGGGUGCUAAGUGCUUCUCCAAGAUUGAUCUUCGAUCUGUUACCACCAGUUGAAGAUUAGGGAUAUGGAUAUCCCUAAGACUACCUUUCAAACUGAAUAUGGUUAUUUUGAGUUUUUGGUGAUGUCCUUUGGUUUGACUAAUGCCCCAACAAUAUUUAUGGACCUUAUUAAUCGAGUAUUCUGUUAGUUCUUGGAUUUGUUUGUUAUUAUUUUUAUAUAUGAUAUUUUAGUGUAUUUCAAAAGUGAGACAAAUCAUGUCGAUCACCUUCUCCUUGUAUUACAAACCUUGAAGGAUCAACGAUUGUAUGUGAAAUUCAUAAAGUGUGAAUUUUGUUGAAUAUUGUGACCUAUUUGGGUCAUUUUGUUUCUAGUAAAGGGAUCAUGGUGGAUCCACAGAAAGUUUCAGUAGUGAAGAAGUGGCUUAGACCCAUGACUCCAACCAACAUUUAGAGCUUCUUGGGUUUAGCCGGUUAUUGUAGGAGGUUUGUGGAAAUUUCUCUUUUAUUGCUACUUCAUUGACUAGUUAACUCAAAAGAAGGUGAAGUUAUUAUGGUCUAACACAUAUGAGGGUUGCUUCGAGAAGUUGAAGGAUAAGUUAACUUAAGUUUCGGUCUUGAAUCAACCUGAGGGCACUGAGGGUUUUAUUAUUUAUUGUGAUGCAUCUCUGGUGAGACUGGGUUGCGUGUUGAUGCAUCAUGGCAAGGUGGUUGUAUAUGCUUCUAGACAGUUAAAGGUUCAUGAGAAGAAAUAUCUAACUCAUGAUUUGGAGUUGUUAGCUGUUGUGUUUGCAUUGAAGAUAUGACGACAUUAUUUAUAUGGGGUCCAUGUAGAUAUUUAUUCUAAUAAUAAGAGCCUGCAAUACGUGUUCACUUAGAAAGAUAUAAAUCUCUGGAUAAAGAGGUGGCUUGAGUUGCUAAAGGACUAUGACAUGAGUCUCCACUAUCACCAGGUACAACUAACCCCAUUGCUGAUGCUCUUAGCAGGUUGUCCAUAGGGAGCUUAUCUCAUGUGGACAAGGAGAAAUGUGAUUUGGUGAUGGACAUUCACUGUUUGGCUAAUCUUGGAGUCUGUUUCAUAAAUUCUGAUGAUAGUGGUAUAAUUGUUCAAGGGUGGUGAAGUCAUCUCUUGGUGAGAAAGUAAAGGAGAAACAGGUUUUAAAUCCUAUAUUGAUUCAUAUCAAGGAUGAGCUAGGUUACCAAAAAGUGAUAGCUUUAGAGAUUGGUAGUGAUGGUAUCUUGAGGUACCAAGGUAGAUUAUAUGUUUCCAAUGUUAAUAGGUUGCGAGGAAGAAUUUUGGCAGAGACUCAUGAGUCACGUUAUAUGGUUCAUCCUGGUUUGAUGAAAAUGUAUCAUGAACUUCAAGAGAUUUAUUGGUGGAAUGAUAUAAAGCGGGAUGUGGCCAAUUUUGUGGCUAACUGUAUUAUGUGUCAGUAAGUAAAGGUUGAGCACUUAAGGCCCGGUAGUUUGAUUAAAGAGAUUGAGCUGCCGGUGUGGAAAUAAGAAAUAAUUAAUAUGGAUUUUGUUACCAGCCUUCUAUGGUCUAGCCAACAACUUGAUUAGAUUUGGAUCAUUGUGGAUAAGAUGACCAAGUUUGUGCACUUCUUGCUAGUAAGGAAUAAUUUCUCUUAUGAGGAUUAUGCUAAGCUUUUAAUUGAGGAGAUAGUGAAGUUGUUUAUUGCUCUAGUUACUAUAAUUUCCAGUCAUGGUACCCAGUUCUCAUCUCACUUUUGGAGGUCAUUCUAGCGAGGUUUGGGGACUAAGGUAACCCUUAGUACUGCUUUUUAGCUGCAGAUGAAUGGGAAAAUGGAAAGGACAAUUCAGGCCUUAGAAGAUAUGCUUAGGGCUUGUGUAUUUAAUUUUGGUGGUAGUUGGGUUGAUCAUUUUCCUCUCAUAGAGUUUGCAUAUAAUAACAGUUAUCACUUUAGCAUUGGUAUGUCUCCAUUUAAGGCUUUGUAUGGUAGGAGGUAUAGGUUUUCUAUUGGGUGGUUUGUGAAACACUCUAGAUUUUGACCCUUAAAAAAUUUCUUGAGUUUGAGCUUCUGGACAUCAUACGACUUGAGGGUACUUUUUUGGAUGAUGUGCGUAUGAUUUAAGGUCCUCAACUCAUAUGAUAAUUAGUGUGGUUUGGUUAGUUUCUGUCUAAGGUACGAAUGGACAUCAUACUAGUCGUAUGUUAGGGUACGUAAAGUAUAAUGCCUAACCGUAUGAUAUCCUAUAUCUAUCCUUAAUGAUUCAACCUAAGGUAUAGUUUAAGGGUACCAAUCGUAUGCUAUGGAUAUGAUUUGGCCCUUAUGGUCAUAUAUUGGACAGUGUUGAAGUCCAAGUAGGUACGAGUGGUGGGUACUACUAGUAUGUUGUGGGUACGGUUUGGGAGGUGUGGUCGUACCCUCUUGCACUUAUUUUUUAUCUUUUAAGAUAAGGACAUCUUAGACAUUUCCCGCUCCCCAAACCGUUAAUACCCACAUCUUAUAACAUUAAUUGGUCCCUCAUUCUUCACUUGGAAAGAUCAAAACAUUCCUAAAACUUUCUCUAAACUCUCUCAAGAAGAUUGUGCUAGGAUUUUCUUUAAGUGUUAACCUAGAGGCUUAAAAACCUAAUCCUCUCCAUGAAUCUUUGUAAAUAAGGCAUGCUACUCUUCCCUCAUUGUUAGUUCAAACUAAAACUAUGUUUUACUUAAUGGUUUCAUGGCAUAAUUAUGGGUUUGUGUUGAUUUUGAAAUAUAUGUUGGGGGUUGUGGUUAUUAAUGGUUGGAUGAUGUUUUCCUAUAAUCUAUUUAUGGUUUUUUUCAUAUUGUAGUGUUGGUUUGAACAUGUUGUUCCAUGGGAAUGGUUAAUUGGUUCUUGAUUUUGGUUUUAGAAAUAUAUGCCCUCAACGCGCUUGUUAAAAUGCCUAAGAGAAUAGUUUUGUCACAUAGUUUGACUUUUAUUGAAAACCUUGCAUUCCAUAAUAUAGUAAUUGAACCUAAAUUGGUUUUGUUGGUUUUAAAUGGUUGGGAAAGGCCUUGGUAGCAAUAGAACCUAGAUUGAUUGUUUUGGAAUGGAAGUUGGCAAUAAACUCAACCCACUUGCAUAAUUGUUUUUGGUUUGGUUUGUUUCUUUAGACUAAUGCAUAUCAUAAAUGGUUAAUUUGUUAAAGAUAGUUUUGAAAACCUUGUAGGGUACAUGAGAAUCCCCCAAGUGAUUUUAAUAAUAGGGUAUGUGAGGUACAUGGGAAUCCCUUAAGUGUUGGCUAAUGACAUUGCUUGCAAGCUAUAGUCGGUAUGACGAUACCACUUUUUAAUGCCUUAAUAAUUGACUCCUAGAAUCAGUGGUUUGAUUAUGUGUUAAAUGUUUUAAUUAGGCAAUAAUAACGGGUUGUGAUAGCUAGCCAUGAAGGUGUGAGUCUGAAAGGUUGACACUGGAAACUCAUAUUUACUAACAUGAGGAUUAGUCUUGAUGACCACGUACUUGUGGGGUAUAAGGGAAUCCCCAAAGUACAUAUACAUAUAUAUGCAUCACAGAGGGCUAAAGGUACAACAGAAUCCCCUACCUCUAUGAUAUCUCCAGUUCAUGCAGCUACACGUAAUGGGGCCCAUCCAGGGGGUAACACUGGGCCCAUAUAGAUCGUGGGUGGAUUAUAAUGGUAAAGCCACACGACCCAGGUAAUGGUUUCAAAUACAUGCUGAAUCCAAUUUCUUUUCCCAGCAUGAUAUAUAUAUAUGUAUGUAUGUGAUUGUAAAUGGUUAUUUACUUUAGUUUUGACUAAUGACAUUAUUUUAUCCUUACUUCUAAGUAUAUGCUAGUGUUCAUCCGCUAACCUAUCUUCAGGCGCUGUAUCCCCAUGCGAUGCAAGAAUAGGCCAUACUAUCACACCUUCUUCUUAGUGACUUGGUGAUUCAGGGACAACUUGAGUCAGAUUGAAGUGGUGUUCUUUCAUUCUUCGGAAGGCCUAUUUCAUGUUAUACUUUACCUUAUGCUUUUACUAUUCUCUUGAUAUUUGUUUUUGGCUAUGGUUGGGGUCAUGCCCCGACUAAAUAUUCUUGGUCAUUGUUUAGAGGCUUCGUAUGAACAAUUAUGAACUUGGGUAUGAAAUGGAUAUGGUUUUGGUUAUUUUUAGGUUUGGGUCGCUAUUAGUUUAUUUGACUUGGUUGGGUUGGUCUUAGUUAUAGACCUAUCCUACAAUCAUUACAUUUUAAAUUACUCUAUCAAGGUAUAUGUUGGUUUGUUUGGGUAUUGGGGGUGGUCUCCGGUCUUUGUUGGAUUUGAGAUGCCCAUUACGAUAAGGCCCUGAUUUGAGUCGUGUCAAGUUAGUAUUAGAGCCUAGGUUUUAGUGUCAUGGGCUAUCCACAAAGCCAUAUCGAGUAGAGUUUUUUUUAUGGGUUUGUAGCACACCAUACUUAUAAGGGAGAGGCUACGACAUAUUUAGGAAUGUUUCACUUUCUUGUUAUUCUAUUUUUGGGCUACAGAGUUUAGGGUCUUGAACUCUCUCCUAGAUUUUCUUUUGUUCGCCUCUCAGAUCAUGCCUUUUCGAUGAUCUAAAACUCAUGGAACUUACCCAUCCUACCCAAGGAUAAUGUGGAUGGAUCUCGUUCAACUCAUGGGGUAAAGACUUGGUCAAGGGUCAUUGCUUUUGAUUUUUCUCGUGAUGUUCCACCACUCUUCACUGACCCUGCUUUGGAAGGUGACACUCAUGGUCAGUCAUCUCAAGAAGAUGUUGCCAAUGCCGAGUUUUGAUAUUUUAUUCAUUUGUUAAUCUAGAUAGUGGCAUAUCUAUCACGCCAGUCUGGUACUAUUGGUAUGAGAAAAAAUAAGGCAAGGCCGAGAAAUAGGUAGAGUAAGAAGUCUAAAUAUUCAAAUCGAGGGAGGGGUCAGAAAAAUAGUGGUAAAAGUGGUGGACAGUGGUUUGAGCAAGGGAAUCUGGGGAGUUCUCAUGUGAUUGUUAGUGUCCUCUAUCCUCAGUCUUCUGGUGAAUAUCAUUUUCAGGCUGGUGGAGUUCGAUCAACCCUACCCUAUCCCUCUUACUAAUUUUAUGGUCUGUUAUACCCCGAUUAUUGCUAUAAAGAGAGGAAUUAGUGUUUUAGUUGUGGUCAGUUGGGUCACAUGCAAUGGGAGUGUCCCACAAGGAUUGCCACUAGGGUAAAUAGGAUACUGAUUGCCACUUUUGUAUCUCCUACACCAAGAGGUGCUACUGCUCUUCCUGAUGAUCUCAUUAUCCCUUGGAGUUCGAGGCAUCACUGAUGUCAUUACUGGUAUUUUGAAACUCUUUUCUCAUGAUGUGUACUGUUUACUUGAUCCAGGGUCCACUCUCUCUUAUGUGACCCUUUCUAUGGCUGUGUAUAUUGGUUUUGAUCCCAAGUAUAUUUUGAACCCCUUUUCUAUUUCUACCCCAGUAGAUGACUCUGUGAUUUUUCGAAAGUCUAUAGAGGGUGUGUGUUAUCUAUCGGUGGUAAAGAAACUGUGAUGGAUCUAUUUGAAUUAGAUGUGGUUGAUUUAAUAUCAUAUUGGGGAUGGAUUGGUUGCACUUGUACUAUGCGUCUCUAGACUAUUGGACCUGUAAUGUCAUCUUUAAAUCCCUAGCAAACUGGUUAUAAAGCGGGAGGGUGGUUCUAUAGUUCCUAAGAAGAGGUUUAUAUCAUAUCUUAAAGUUCAGAGAUUGAUCUCCAAGGGGUGUAUCUAUUAUUUGAUCUAGGUUAAAGGUUCUUAUAUUCCAUCCUAGUAGUGAGUGAAUUUCCUGAUAUCUUUCUUAAUGAUCUUCCUUGUAUCCCACCCAAUGGGGAAACUAAUUUUGGGAUUGAUCUACCUUCGAACACUCAUUCAUUCCCUAUCUCUCUUUAUAGAAUGACUCUUCUUAAGUUAAACAAGCUUAUAAAAUAGUUGGAGUAUCCUUUGAGAAGGGUUUGUUUACCUUAGUGUUUCUCCGUGGGGUGUUUUCGUUCUUUUAUGCAUAAGUGAGGAUGGUUACCUCUGGGUAUGUAUAGGUUAUUGACAGGCGAAUAAGUAAUACAGGGUGACCUUCUAUAUUUUGCGGAGGGUACUCAGUAGGUAGUGCAUGAUGGUUGAUAGAACUAAGUUUGAACCUUAGAUGUUGAUUUUGGUGAAGGGAGUAUAUUAGCUUGAAAAUUUCUAGGUGAGAGUUAUGGGGGUAUAUUGGUAGGCUUGGUGGGGUGUUUGGAGGAGGCGAGGUUGAUUACUUAGGGGAUACAAGAGUAGGAAAGUUGUAACAUAAAGGCCGGAGGUCCAGGUUUAACUGAUGGAUUGGGGCUAAGUCAUUAAAUAGGUUAGUACAUGGGGUUUGUGGGACUAUGCUGGACCCCAGGUAGAAUCUGGAUAGAUGAGGUUUUAGGUGUAAAAGAGACAAGUGCCCCUAGAACAUGUCCGUAGUAAUACCCCUUAGAGCAGAGUGUUGUGCUUAUUGGUGUAGUAAUAUGGAGAUCGAAGGGUUAACCUAAAAUUUAUGCCUGUGGUGGACUUCAAUGGGAAAGUUGGGGUGAAUUUACUCCUAUUCUAGAGAUUCUCUCCUAUUUUGAUUAAGAGGGCACUUUUUUAGUAUUUCACACAUUCUAAUAGUGCUUAUGCCUAAGGUCUACAUUUUAUGUGUCGCGUAUGUCCAUACUCCAGCCCCUGAAUCAAAGGCAAUAAUAGUCCUCAGAAAUUCAAGUUUUUAGGUGUUGAAGCUUUAUGCCAUGAUACUCAUGAUUUGUAUAUUCAUGUCUUACGUCAUGCUUCGUUUCAAGAAAUAAUAGUUUCAAGGGAAAAUCCUUUCUUUGUUCCCUGAAUAUGAAUCUCGGCUUUAUGUUACAUUUUCUAUGAUAUAUGUAGUUCUGUUUCUUCCAAUGCCCAUCCUAAGGACUCGUAUUACGGUGUAUAUAUUUUGGAGUAAUCCUUUAUUUAUAACCUGAGUGGUUUCUUUAGAGUACCUCAUACCUAUAUCACCGUAUCUCAUUUCUCAAGUCUCGCCUUGAGUAGUAAGACAAAUAGAAGUUGCAAUUGAGAAGAACCACCCCUCGUUCUUGAUGCUUAUACUCUAGAUCCUCAGUAACCUUUCUUAUGUUUGGGUGGUUUCACCUUAGAAGCGUAGUGAUGUUUUGGAAGAGAGAGUAAAUGUCCUUUGUCGUGAAAUUCUAGGGUGACUACUUGAGCUAAGGUUAUGAGUGUAAAUGGAAGAAUGAGAUGAAUAUUGUCAUACAAAAUAGUUGCGGAUGAGAGUCGUGGUGAAAACCUUUAUGAUGUAACUAAGGGUGUUAUUUUUGGUAAGGAAAUCCAUACAAUGGGUGUAGUAAGAUAGGCUGGAGCGUGGUUAUUAGUAGGUACCCGACCAUUAUGUUAUGCGGCAAAAGCUCCUUAAUUAAGACCUGAGGUGUGUUAAUAGUAGUGAUAGAUAGGGUGGCAUUAUCGGAAUGGUGUAAAGUAUGGGGUCCCAUGGCUUCCACUAGCACCUUUAACUCCCAAUUAGUCUUUAACAUGGGAUGGAUAUACUGUUAUGCUUAAGUCCUCUAGUUAUGUAUAUAUGAGGGGAGUUGAGAGGUUGAAAAUGGAGGAGUGUUUUCUUCAUGUUGAAAGUUUGGUGGAUGGUGUGUCCGUAUUAAGGGGAUAUUAGAUUAGAUGCAUGCGUUAUGAAGGAAGAGGCUACUUGGGAAGUGGUAGAGGACAUGAAGUUCAAGUAUGCAUAUUUUCUCUCCAUUUUGGAUAAUCGUGCUUAAAAUGUGUAUUUAUUCUUAAUAUCUCCAUUGUCUGUACGAUUAAAGAAAAUAGUGAUUCCUUAAUGUCUUUGUUUUUCUAACUUCAUUAAAGGGGAGUUUAAUAGGCAGUAUUAUGUUGAAACCGUGCUUAUGCUUACCUUUACCCAUCAUUCGAGGAUGAAUGAUCCUAGUGGGGGAGACUAAAACACCCUGGAUUUUGACCCUUAGAAAAUUUCUUGAAUUCGAGCUUCUUGACAUUAUACGACUUAAAGGUACUUGUCGUAUGAUAUGGGUAUAGUUUAGGGUCCUCAACUCAUAUGAUAAUCAGUGUGGUUUGGUUGGUUUCUGUCCAAGGUACGAAUGGACAUCAUACUAGUCGUAUGUCAGGGUACGAGAAGUAUAGCGCCAAACCGUAUGAUGCCGUAUGUUUAGCCUAGAUGAUUCAGCCUAGGGUAUGAUUUAAGGGUACCAAUCGUAUGUUAUGGAUACGAGUUGGCCCUUGUGGUUGUAUGUUGGACAAUGUUGAAGUCCAAGUUGCUGCCAAGGGUACGAGUGGUAGGUACCACACGUAUGCUGUGGGUACAGUUUGGGUGGUGUGGUCAUACCCUCAUGCUCUCAUUUUUCAGCUUUUAAGUAGAGGCCAUUUUAGAUAUUUCCCACCCCCAAAACCCUUAAUACCCUCGUCCUAUAACAUUAAUUGUUCCCUCAUUCUUCACUUGGAAAGAUCAAAAUACUCCUAAAAUUUCUCUAUAUUCUCUCAAGAUGAUUGGGCUAGGGUUUUCUUCAAGUGUUCAUCUAAAGGCUUAAAGAUCGAAUUCUCUUUGUGAAUCUUCGUAAAUAAGGCAUGUUACUCUUCCCUCAUUGUUAUUUCAAACUAAAAGCAUGUUUUUCUUAAUGGUUUUCAUGGCAUAUUUGUGGGUUUGUUGGUUUUGAAAUAUAUGUUGGGGGUUUUGGUUACUAAUGGUUGGAUGAUGUUUUUGCAUGUUCUAUUUAUGGUUUUUUUUCAUGUUAUAAUGUUGGUUUGAACAUGUGGUUGCAUGGUAAUCAUUAAUUGGUUCUUGUUUUUUUUUUUUGGAAACUAUAUGCCCUCAACAUGUUUGUUAAAAUGCCUAUGAGAAUAGUUUUGUCACAUAGUUUGACUUUUAUUGAAAACCUUGCAUUUCAUAGUAUAGUAAUGGAACCUAAAUUGGUUUGGCUGGUUUUAAAUGGUUGGGGAAGGCCUUGGUGGCCACAGAACCCAAAUUGAUUAUUUUAGAAUGGAAAUUGGCAAUAAACUCAAUCCAUCUUUAUAAUUAUUUUUGGUUUAUGCAUUACUACUUGGUUUGUUUGUUUAUUGAGACUAAUGCAUGGCAUAAAUGGUUAAUUUGUUAAGGAUGGUUUUAAAAACCUUUUGGGGUACACGGGAAUCCCCCAAGCGAACUUAUAAUGAAAACCUUGUGGGGUACACGAGAAUCCCCAAGUAAUUUUAGUAAUGGGGUCUGCGGGUACCUGGGUUUCCCUUAAGUAUUGGCUAAUAACAUUGCUUGCAAGCUAUAGUCGGUAUGACGACACAAAUUUAUAAUGCCUUAAUAAUUGACUCUUGGAAUCGGUGGUUUGGUUAUGCAUUAAAUAUUUUAAUUGGGCAAUAAUAGCGGAUUUUGAUAGCUACCCAUGAAGGUGUGAGUCCGAAAGGUUGACACUGGAAUCUCAUGUUUGCCAACAUGAUGAUUAGUCUUGAUAACCACACACUUCUGGGGUACAAGGGAAUCCCCAAGUACAUACACGUACAUAUGUAUCAUAGAGGACGACGGGUACAAGGGAAUCCCCUACCCCUAUAAUAUCUCCAGUUCAUAUGGCUACAUGCACUGGGGGCCAUCUAGGGGAUAACACUAGACCCAUAUAACCCGUGGGUAUAUUAUGACGAUAAAGCUACGCAUCCUAGGUAAUGGUUUAAAAUGCAUGCUAAACUUUGUUCAUUUUCCUAGCUUUAUAUAUAUAUAUGUAUGUAUGUGAUUUUUAUAUGGUUAUUUACUUUAGUUUUGAAUAAUGGCAUUAUUUUAUCCUUACUCCUGAGUACAUGCUAGUAUUCACCCGCUAACCCAUCUUCGGCCACUGUAUCCUAUGUGAUGUAGGAAUCGGCCAUACUAUCAUAUCUCCUGCUCAGUGACUUGGUGAUUCAGGGACAACUUGAGUCAAACUGAAGUGGUGAGCUUUUAUUCUUCGAAAGGCCCAUUUCAUAUUAUGGUUUACCUUAUGAUUUACUAUUUUCUUGACAUCUGUUUUAUGCUAUGGUCGGGGGCAUGUCCUGACUAGAUAUUCUUGGUCAUUAUUUAGAGGCUUUGUAUGGACAAUUAUGGACUUGGGUAUGGAAUGGAUAUGGUUUUAGUUAUUAUUGGGUUUGGGUUUCUAUUGGUUGAUUUGACUUGGUUGGGUUGGUUUCGGUUAUAAGCCUAUCCCAAAGUCAUUACAUUUUGAAUUACUCUAUAUUAUUGUAUGUUCGGAAUUCAUCCAAUAUGUUGGUUGGUUGGUUUGGGUAUCAGGAGUGGUCUCUGGUCUUUGUUGGACUUGAGAUACCCAUUAUGACAAGGCCCUAGUUCGGGUUGUGUCGACACAAAUUUAUAAUGCCUUAAUAAUUGACUCUUGGAAUCGGUGGUUUGGUUAUGCAUUAAAUAUUUUAAUUGGGCAAUAAUAGCGGAUUUUGAUAGCUACCCAUGAAGGUGUGAGUCCGAAAGGUUGACACUGGAAUCUCAUGUUUGCCAACAUGAUGAUUAGUCUUGAUAACCACACACUUCUGGGGUACAAGGGAAUCCCCAAGUACAUACACGUACAUAUGUAUCAUAGAGGACGACGGGUACAAGGGAAUCCCCUACCCCUAUAAUAUCUCCAGUUCAUAUGGCUACAUGCACUGGGGGCCAUCUAGGGGAUAACACUAGACCCAUAUAACCCGUGGGUAUAUUAUGACGAUAAAGCUACGCAUCCUAGGUAAUGGUUUAAAAUGCAUGCUAAACUUUGUUCAUUUUCCUAGCUUUAUAUAUAUAUAUGUAUGUAUGUGAUUUUUAUAUGGUUAUUUACUUUAGUUUUGAAUAAUGGCAUUAUUUUAUCCUUACUCCUGAGUACAUGCUAGUAUUCACCCGCUAACCCAUCUUCGGCCACUGUAUCCUAUGUGAUGUAGGAAUCGGCCAUACUAUCAUAUCUCCUGCUCAGUGACUUGGUGAUUCAGGGACAACUUGAGUCAAACUGAAGUGGUGAGCUUUUAUUCUUCGAAAGGCCCAUUUCAUAUUAUGGUUUACCUUAUGAUUUACUAUUUUCUUGACAUCUGUUUUAUGCUAUGGUCGGGGGCAUGUCCUGACUAGAUAUUCUUGGUCAUUAUUUAGAGGCUUUGUAUGGACAAUUAUGGACUUGGGUAUGGAAUGGAUAUGGUUUUAGUUAUUAUUGGGUUUGGGUUUCUAUUGGUUGAUUUGACUUGGUUGGGUUGGUUUCGGUUAUAAGCCUAUCCCAAAGUCAUUACAUUUUGAAUUACUCUAUAUUAUUGUAUGUUCGGAAUUCAUCCAAUAUGUUGGUUGGUUGGUUUGGGUAUCAGGAGUGGUCUCUGGUCUUUGUUGGACUUGAGAUACCCAUUAUGACAAGGCCCUAGUUCGGGUUGUGUAAGUUUGAGGUUGGUAAAAAUAGGUUUUUCGGCUGUGAUUUGGUUCACUAAGCCAUGGAGAAGGUGAAUGUGAUUCAGGAAAGUCUUAAGACCACCCAAAGUUACCAAAAGUCCUAUGAGGAUGUAAGAUGGAGGAAGUUGGAGUUUCGUAUUUGUGACUAGGUGUUCUUAAAGGUUUCUCCCAUGAAGGGCGUGAUGCAGUUUGGGAAGAAGUUGAAGAUUAGUCCCCAUUAUGUUGGUUCAUAUUUGGUUUUUAAGAGGGUUGGAAAUGUUGAAUAUGAAUUGGAAUUUACUUUUAGAUUGAGCUCCAUUCAUCCGGUCUUCCAUGUUAUGAUAUUGAGAAAGUGCGUGGGUGAUCCUUCAUUGGGUGUUCCUUUAGAAGGUGUGGGCAUUUCGAAUUGCUUGUCUUAUAAGGAAGUUCUGGUUAAGAUCUUGGAUCGGCAAGUCCGUCGAUUACAGAUGAUGGAUGUGGCUUUGGUAAAGGUUCUUUUGAGGAACCAAAUGUUUGAGGAAGCUACAUGGGAAGCCGAGGAGGACAUGAAGUCCAAGUAUCCAUUCCUAUUUCCUAUUUUAGAAAAUCAUGCUUAAAGUAUGUGUCUGAUCUUAACUUCUUUAUUUUCUAUUUUUGGUAAAAGUAAGUGUGGGAGUGUUUCUGCAUUAAAUCAUGCUAACAUUUGCCUAGGCCCAUCAUUUGAGGAUGAAUGCUCCGGGGGGGGGGGGGAAUGUAACACCCCAGAUUUUGGUCCUUUAAAAUUUCUAAAAUUUUAUCCUCAAUGUCCUGACUACGACUCACCCUACAAGUCGUAGGGUGUCUUGACGGGUCAUAUGACCCUAAUCGUAAGGUGUCCAUCAAAUGAUGCUUGAGUUUUUAUCCUGAGUAUGACUUAGGGACACGAGAUGAAAAGACCUAUGACGAGUCGUUGGACUCAAAUCAUAGCCUAAAUAGUAUGUGUGUGUGGGUAAGUUCAUCUCUUAGUACGAGUGGCUCACUACGAGUUGUGAGAACUCAUUACGAGUCAUUUUGUGCAAAUCGCAGGACAUCCUGUGUUUACCCCAAUUAAUUUCUGUGUUAACUAUGAUUGAACCCCUUGAUUCGUAGGGUCCCAUUACGAGCCAUGGUAUACGAGUCGUAAGGCCAACAAUUUCUGUGCAUGGUGAGACUGUAUUGAUAAUGACUCAUGGAGAUAAGUCGUAAUGAGACGUGAUGAGUCGUUAUGAGAACCGUAACGACUAGCGAUUUAUUUUUCUAGCUUUUUAAAUGGGGGUAUUUUAGACAAUUGCCCCUUAUCCCAAUAAUAACCCACGAUUUAUAAACAUACUUGUGGCCCUAUUCUCAUUGAUAACUCACUCCAAACAUUCUUUCUUCUUAUUCAAGUAUCUCAAGCAUUCAUACCUAGGGUUUUUAAGAAGUAGGUCAUCCAAGGUUGGAUUCUCUCCAUAAUCUUGGGUAUUUUGGGCAUCUUACUCUUCCCUAAUUGCUAAUUUGUUAAAAGCAUAUGUUUUAAAGUAUUGUUCAUAUUGGUGAUGGUUUUGAAACAUGGGUUGAGGGGUUUCGAAUGUUUGCUUUUGAACAAUGUUUCCCAUGGUUUACUUAUGAUUGUUCAUGCUUUAUUCAUGGUUUUGAAUUUAUGGGGUGUAACGCCCCGAAAUCUAAUUCCCGGGAUGCCAUAGGUGCUCCAAACUACCAGAGUACUGAGCUAACCCUGACUGCUUUCUACUAAAUCUGAAUCUCAAAAUAGGGGAAAAUAGAUUGAAAACAUAAUAAAUGCGGAAAUCUUAUCUGAAGCAUACUAAUCUCACAAGUCUUGGUAAAACAAUACUAAAAAAUUUGGAUACGGAAUCAAAAGUCUAAACUGAAUCUGGUAGUCCGAUAAGCCUCUACUGUCUGAAUCUAGAGGUCACUGGACAGGCCACAGCUGACUGAAACUGUCUGAAAUGAUUACUAAAUCAUCUACUAGAUAAAAAGGAAAUCUGAAUAGCUAAGUACUCAAACUAUGAGGGCUCACCAACUGCAGAGAUAUAGAUGAAAUGCUUGAAAAUCACUCACGCUGCUGAGACUGAGCACCUGAACCUACAUUAUAAGACAAUGUAGCACAUAGAUGUAUAUGUGGAUCAGUACUUUGAUGAUGUACUAAGUAUAUAGGGGUGAAUUCAAUAAGUAAACAAUACCAUCAUAAUUUAUAAAAUCAUGCAUGCUAAAUAUAAAUGACUCACAUAGGCUUGAGUAAUCUAAAAUCUGAAGAUCAUAAAUCAUGAACAAUAAAGCAUAUAAUAUGAAUCUUGUUAGCCAUUACAUUCAAUUCUAAAACCUGUUCUUUUCUUAAAACUACCACAUUAUCUUGUCAACUGUAAGGGGAAUACUUAAUCUCAAGACUUUAAGAAAUCUUAAAAUCCAUAGCUUUUAAAACAUAUACUUUUAUCUUAAGGCUUUCAACCAAUAGAUUGUUUUAAGAGUAGAGGACUUCUUUUGGGAGGUUCUUCUAAUCGACAUAAACCAUGUGAGAAUUCAUGGAGUCCAAUGUCUUACCCACAUUGGAGAGAGCUAUUUUCACGCCCCAAAACUAUGUGAUACCUUGGUAACAUACCCAUCUUGGUGCUAAAUACUACUCCCAUUCUUAUGCUCAGGAUCUUAAGAAAUCUACUUCAAAAAAAUUGCAUAAGGGUUUACUAGAAAAAUCAUUUAUGCUUUUCUUUCUUUUAAUCUCAAGUCAUAUGAACAAUGUGGAUUCUUUAUCUUAGCUUAGGACCAAAUGGUCAAAUCUUUAUCAAAAAUCUAAGAAUAAUCUUAUCAUAGGGUGCUUAUGGCACAAACAAUCUUGAAAUAACAAUCUUUAAUUAGGGCUUAAUGACCCAUGCUUCAAACUCAUGUAAAAUCAUAGCAAACAUCAUGCUCAAUAUGCUUCUUAAAAUACGAAAACAAUAUCAAAAUAAUAAAAUGAAGAAUUUCAAUAUCAUGCUUAAACUCAAUUGAGAAAAUCUGAAAAAACACAUUAUCCACAUAAUUAUAUGAAAAUAGUCAUGCAAUUCAACAAUCACUUGAAAUCUCAUAAACUUGUAAAUAACAAUACUGAGUAUAAACCCUAACUUGAAUUUCAUGGGAAAUCAUAUAAAAUUCAGUAAAAUUGGAACUAAAAUAAGUUUUGGGCACAAGGACGAAAGGAUUGUCCUUGUUCAAAACCCCACAUACCCCAAUUGAUGAUCUUAGAUGCUAAAACUUGAAUCUUGGAUCUCUAUUGAUGCUUUGGAGAUGAAUUCUUAGUGUUCUUGAGUUGGGGAUUCUAAAUCUUGAAUUAGCUUGGAGAAUUAAUGGAGAAAUUGGGUUUCUUGGAGAAGGAGCUUUGAUGAUCUAGGGGUUUCUUUUGGAUGAAAUAAGCUUAAAGUGCUUUGGAAUACUUUAAAUCUUGUGUUUUGGACAGAUUGGGGACUUGGGAAUUGACCAAAAUACCUCCUAUAAGCUUUUAAACGAAACUGAAAAAUGUAAUAUUUUCCAAACGGGGUGGCCACCGCUAUGCGCCGCUAUCUCAGUGGCUUACUGGAAGUGGAUGAAUAGGAACUAGUCUUUUACCGCGAUAUGCCACAAUCACGGUGCCCUUUAGUUUGCCAUUUGGCCACUGGUGCGACAUGCUAGUAUCAUGAAGGCUCACUGGAAACUGACAAAUGGGAAAUUAGCCCUCUUUGCGAUGCGCCAAUAUCGUGAAGGUCUACUGGUAUUUGACAAUUAUGAAUUUUUCCUUUUCCGCGACGCGCCAAGUGCCCAGGUGACACAGUGUCAACUUAAAAAUGCCACAACUCCUUCACCAAGUGUCAGAUUUGGGAAAAUCUUAUAUCGAUGGAAAGCUUAUUCAAUUUACCAUAUAAUGGGAAGUCUAAAUCUGAAAAAUUCCACAUAUAAUAAAUAUUUUUUAUUUUUGAAGCUAUCUCUUAAUGUAUUAGGAGCGAAUUUAAGCUAAGAAAGUUUGGGGUAUUAUAUGGGGUGCCUGGGUAUGGUGAAUAAACUAGGGGAUUGUGAUUUUUCGAAUUUGUGAAUAUUGACCAUUAAAGUGGUAAUGACAAUUGGUUUUGAACGUGGAAAAUAUGAAUAUUGAACUCUUGAACUAAUGUAUAAUGUGAAAAGUCAAUGAAGCAUAAUGAUUUUUACUUGAACAUUAUGGGGUUGUGUAAUUCCCCAAGCUAAUGCAUAAUUGAACCAAGGGGGCUAUGAAUUCCCCUAAAUAAUGAAAGUUUUUCUGUAUGUUAAUGUUACCUUGCAAGUGUAAUUGGUAUGACAAUACCAACAAUGUAUUCCUGAAUGUGUAUCAUGGUUCAAUGAAUGUAAACAUGUGAUAAAUACUUUGAUUAGGAUUUAAUGAGGGCUAUGUAGUUGAGUUCCCGAGGGACCAAUACUGGACACUGCGGUUGCCAAAGUGAGGGUCUAAAUGAUCGUGUGGUUUGAGUCCCACAUCUUAUAUUACAUAAUUGGGUUCUUGCAUAACCUUGAUAUGCCGGGAGGUUCGAGUCCCCUAUAGUGUAUAUGUAUACUCUCUGGUUCAUGCGGUCACACACACUGGUGUCCUUUUAUCUAGGGGAGAGUUGGGCCCAUACAACCCGUGGUGCCUUCUUAUGUUAUGAUGGUUGAGCUACACAAUCCAAGCUAAAGUUUUAAAGUGCAUGUUAAGCCUCAUUCCCUAUCCUGACAUGUGAUAUAUAUGUGUAUAUGCAUUUGAUUGUGUGCAUUGGAUUUGAAUAAUUUCGAACUGCUAAUCAUGACAUUAUGUUAUCCUUAUUCCUAAGUUACAUGCUAGUGCUUAACCCACUAUCUUCUGAUGCUGUAUCCCCACCCAAUGCAGGCACUACAGAUACCUCUACUUUCCCCGCAUAGAGUUAGGUGGACCGGGUAGAUUCGUCGGUUCAUUGUGGUGAAGUGGCAAGCUUCUAUUAUUUGGAAGACUUAGACAUUUCAUCAGUUCUUAUCAUAGAUUAGGAUUAAGAUUUUUCAUUAUCAUUAAUAUUAUCAUUGUCAUUGUCAGGGUUGGGGAUAUGUCCCAACCAAGAUUGGUUUUUGGUUAUUUUUGUAUAGAGGCUUUAUUGGAUUACUGUGGACUUGGUAAUAUUAGUUGGAUGCGUUUGGUUGGUUACUGGUUAUCGGUUAUAGACAUAUCUUUUAUUCUUUAAACUUAUCUUGUGCUAUCUCGUUAAAUGUUUAGAAUUCAGUCAUUGUUGGGUGGUAUAUAGUAUUUGGUUAGGUUUAGGUGGUGUUCUCCAGUCAACAGUGGAUUGGACAUGCCCGUAAUGUCCAGUCCCUGGUUCAAGUCUGUAACACCCCAAAAUAUCAUCUCGAGAUGCCACAUGGUGCCCAAGGCUACACGUAGCCCCAAGCUAACCCUUUAAGACAAAACAUUACCCUUGGUUUCCAACACAACAACAUACACGCUACUCUAAGGAUAUAUAUAUAAGUACAUAUCAUAUCACAUCGCACAUGACAUGGAAUAUCAUUAGACUGUACAUAUAUGGAAUGUCUAUACACAAACCAACCCAACAAUACACUAGUAUGACAUAGCCUCUAUACAGCAAAAUCAACGAGCCAUUGGGACAAACCCCCAACUGACUCAAUAGACCAAAGGGAUCACAAAACAACAGCACCAAAACUAGCAACUUGGUCCUCGAACCAUGAGGACUUACCACUGAAGGAACAAAGAUGCGGCACUCGGAUAUCACUGUCGCGGCUACGGCUGAGUACCUAAACCUACAUCAUGGUAAGAAUGUAGCCCAUAGAGAAAUAUGUGGGUCAACACAAGAUACGUACUGAGUAUGUGGGGGUGCAUGCAAAAUAUAAAUAAUAUCAUAAAUUUCGUAAAAACGUACAUACAAACCAUAAUGACACACCUGGUUUGAGUGACAUUGAAUCAUGCAACUCAUAACAUCUUAGAUAGGAAGUGUAGGAGAAAAACCUCAUAAAUCAUUAUAGAUCAUCAUAGGAAACUUGACUUACCACAUCAAAACUCGGAGUGACUCGGUAUUUUAAUAAACAUGACUCUAUGGAUAGGGGAGUUUCCUAUAACCGACAACCCUAUGUGAGCUACGUGGAAUACCAACAUUUGAAACCCCCAUUGGUGGGAGCAUCAUACUCUUUGCCAGGGAGUACGACCUUAAAACUGCAAUAAUCACAAUCGGGAUCUUUGGCCAAUAAUAUCAUCAUCAAACAACCCUACGGUGGCACAUAGGUUUGGGGAAAUACCAAAUUCCCUCUCCAUGCUAAGUAAUACUCCCCGAUAAGCUCAGAACGCGUUAGGAAAUCCACCACAACAUCACAAGGGUCUAUCAUAAAGACCAAAUCAAAUCUCUUUCUCAUUUAUCAAAUCAUAUCAAUUUGUGGAUUCUUAACUCAACACAUUUUAGGUCAAAACAUUUUAAUCUUCCUUAACAUCAACAAGGUAUCAAUGUAUUGAACCGUAACCCACUCGAUAUUUGGAAAAGGAUAUGAAGACUCCAUACAUAAUAUUUUUAAUAAUUUAACUCAUCAAAACCAUCUGAAAAAUACCAAGACUCAUUGUAACUUCAAUAUCAACAUUUCUCAAUUUGCCAUCCAACUCUCAUUUAAAGGUACUUGAGACAUCAACCCAUAGUAGGGAUAUAGAAUUUCCAAUAUCAAUUAUAAAUUCAUAAUAACGAAAUAGUGGAAUGAUAGUAUAAAUCAAGGCUUAACAAAUUAAAUCAUCAUACUCUCAUAAUCAAAUACUUUUUGGACAUAAUUCCAUCUCAACAUCAUACACAUAUCGGAUGACAUAAUCCCAUAGCUCAUGGACAAUAAUAUAAGAUAUAAAACUAUAUUUCCAAUUCAUGGUAAAACAUGUAAAAUCUCAUGUCAAUGUAAUUCAACAAAAAUACCGGGCACAAGAUCAAAAGGAUAAUCUUGUUCAAAGCCCCACAUACCUAAAAAUGGAAGAUGAAUAUGAACUUUCGACUUCAAAACUUUAUUCAUAAAAAUAAAGGAUGCUUCUCAAAGCCCUUAACAUGAUCAACUCAAAUCCCAAAUCAAUUUGAAAUUUCUACUGUUCAAUCAAGAGACAUAGAAGGAUAAAAUUUGGAGUAGUAGGGUUGAGGUUUGAGCCUUAGGAAAUUUUGGAGAAAAAUGAGCUAUUGAAUGCUCUUAAUGGACUUUUUUAUCCAUGGCCAAAUUGGAUGAAACCAAUUUCAUUUGAAAGAGGACUUUCAAAGAUUUCUGUUGAUAUAUAGUAUCUCACCCAGAUCAUUCUGUACAAGGAGUUAUGAUCAUUUGAAGUUGACCCUAAAAUUCGCCUGGCCUUAGUAUUUUUUUCCUGCACAUUUACUGUUCAACACUAUUUAUGGUUAGAUCGGAAUGAUCAUAACUCAUUGCUCGAGUGUCCAUUUUGGAUGAUCCACAUAUCAUUGGAAAACUUAUUCAAUCCUCUACGCGAUGACGUGUUGCAUAUACAGAAAUUCCACUCAGAAAAAUUAUUAAUCACGAUAAGGAACAAAAUUCAACAUAUUUUAGUCUGAGAUCUUAACGAAAAACUUUUUCGGGGCAUCACAGAGUCAUGAUAAUUAAAUUCAUUUUGAUAUGUUGUUUUCAUCUAGAUUCCUCACCGUUUUACCUAUGAUAAGUAACCAAUCCCUUCUCUUAUAUUUUUCAAUCGUGUAUCUUGAUGGGUUGAGCUUUUAGUGAAGCUGAUACCACCACCUGAGCUACAUCAAUUAAUUAAUAAGUUAAUGGAUCUUUUGAUUAUUAAUCCUCAUCUUCAUACAGGUUAAAAGGUUAAUUUUUAAAUCAGAUACUUAUGCUAGAUCUGGUGCUACUAUUAUUUGAAUACCCAGCAGUCAACAUCCCAAAAUUCUCACGAGAUGUAGGUGGAAUUUUCUAUGGAUAUCACUCCCAAUAAUAGGUAUUACAAUUCUAGCUUCUUUUUUGUCUAAAAAAACGUUCCUUAAAUUUGCACCUUUAUUUUUUUUUUCUAAGAAUAUUCAAUGUAUGUUUGAUCUUAAUCCUGUGUUAUUCUAAGAUUCUUGUGACUAUCCUUUAGAGUGGUACCUUUACCUCUUUUCUUCCUUUAUAAGAAUCUCGAUGGUUAUUAUUUCUGCUCCUUGUUGAUCCUCCUAAUGUCAGGAAUACCAAACUUUUUAUUACUUGUCUUGCUUUAAUCAUUACUUGUGCAAAGUUGUUGAACUCAAAAUUACCUGCAAAAAAGAAAAACUAGGUUAACAAAAAAAUUAGCUGGAGUGUUACCUUUCCUAAGGAAAUGUACCACUCUAACUGUUAGUGAUUCUAUCAGACAUCCAAUGGAGUUGACCACCAUUGUGUCAUACAUGACACUUCCUGUUCACCCUUAAGAAUUUGAAACAUACUAUAAUAAUCAAUUUCUAAAAUAACCUGCCUUAGGUUAUUGUUGAACGGUAUUGUAAGCAAUCCUGUAUAACUAAUGCCUUAACCAUAAAACUGCCUGUACUUUAUUCUACACCCUUUUCCAACAAUUAGAUCUCCCAGAUUAUCUCUUAGUAAGCAGUGGAUCUUGGACCAGGGUUCCCUUUUGAGGCACCAUCUGUGUUGCCUUUAACCCUGCUAAUUUCUGGCUGUAGCUACCUAAUCACUUUAAAAGAGUAGGAAUCUCUGCAACUCUGCAAAAUAUUAAUAAUUUCAGCCCAAUGUUUUUCUUGUAAAUCCAUGUGAAAUUUGAGCUUGAUAAAAUGGAUGAUAGAGUUAGUAAUAUCCCAUGUAAUCUUCCUUAGUAAUCUCCCAAGUAAUAUUCCUGUCAUUAUAUCUACCGUUAUGCAAUAAAGUAUUACUCCCUUUUCAUAAAAACCAAAAAAUAAUCAAAGGAACAACAUUAAACACUGUCUGAAGUUUGUGAUUCCCAUCCCCUUUCCUCCAUAGCCUAACACUCUGCUUCAAAUUUAAUCUCUGCUCCACAAUACCAGCUGCAUUAUAGAAAUUAUUCCACACCCUUUCUGCUAUUUCUCCUUUAAGGAAAAGAUGCUGGAUAGUUUUUGUUUAUGGAUCUUUAUAACAACCAAACGUAUUAUCAAUCUCUGUAUUCCAUGGUGCGUGACUGCUGCAACUAGAAUAAUUGACUUCUAUAUUCUCCAUGUCAAAAAGAAAAAUUUAAAAGGCACUCCUUUAAUCCAAAUAGCCUUUAAAUCUUUCUUCUCAUCUUCUUUAUUUCUAAAUAGUUCCCAGGCACUUUUUGUAGUGAAAAUACCCUUACUAUUUCUAGUACACCAAGGUUUAUCUAUCUCCUCUUUGUAGAAUAAAAACCUAUAGAAUCCCUGACCUACUGUACAAUAUCUUCUGGAAUCUCAUUCUUUAUAAGUUCAUAGUUCCAUCUAUUCUUCCUUAUAAAUACAUCAAUGUCUUUUAAGAGGUAAAAUGUAGAAAUAUUAUACUGCUGUUUAAAUAAAGGACCAAAUUUGGUCCAAUUGUUAAACCAAAUUAUGGAUUUACCACUCUUAGGUUCCCACCACAAAAAAUGUUCCACCUUGUCCCGAUCAUUCAACAUGGAAUUAUAGACUUGUGAUCCUCCUCUCUAGUUCAUCAAAGUAGCCAAUUGUUUUUUACAAUAUUUAUUCACAGAAAGUCUAUCCACAGAUUUCUUUGAGUCUUGAAUCUCCACAAGAGCUUACCAUUUAAGGCAAAAGACAUAUAUUUCAAAGCUCUAAAACCCAAACCUCCUUCCUAUUUGGAUAAACAAACCUUGUCCUAGGUAGUUUAAUGCUUUCCCCUUCCUGACUCCUUAUUAUUCUAAAAGAAUUUAGCAAAGAUCUAAUGCAGAUCUUUGAUAACACUUUUAGAGGAACUAGAAGAAAGAAUAUUAACUGUGAUGCUUUAAAGAACACUUUUAAUGAGAAACUCCUUCCCUCAUAUUAUAAUAGCCUACCUUUCCAUGCUUGGACUUUACUCUGCACCUUUUCUAUUAAUUCUGCAUAAUGUUCUUUGUUCUUAUUUGAAUGAGAUAGAGGACAACCAAGAUAUUUAAUUAUAAAUUUGCCUUUUCUCAUACUUGUAAUCUGCUCCACAGCCUGAACUUUACCUAUUGAUACUUUCUGAUGCAUAUAAAGGAAGCUUUUAUUCAUAUUCACCUUGCCUUCCAUAACCAAUAAACCAAAGAUCAUCAAACAAGUUCUUUAAAGCUCUGGUCAUAAUUUUUGAUGACAAAAUAAACAAAGUGGGAGAUAAAAAGUCUCUUUGUUUCACCCCUCUAGUUAAAUGAAAGAAACUACUGGUUGACUAUUCAAUAAUAUGGAAUAAUAAUUAUUAGAUAUUAAUCUCCAAAUUACAUAACAACCUUAUCAGAAAAUCCCAUCUCCCUCACCACUUUUAUCAGAAAGAACCAAGAGAUAGGUUACAAGUUAUUUAUCUAUUAGAUUUUAGUAUCUCAAUUUACAUACUACUUUAGUACUUGCUUUAUACAUGGUCAUGCAUUCUCAGUCUUUUUAAUUUUCGUGCAUUAUUACUCAGUUCCUCAUGCUAUGCAUUUAGUCAAAUAUUACUCAUGAGCAUGAACCCAUGCAUAUUAGCCUAAUAUCAUUUAGCAUACCUGUACAUUCAAAAGCACUAACCCCAUACUUGUUUUCUUGUGCUAUGAUGUCUUAUAUCAUAGGUUCAAAUGCUCAAAUUCCCUAUCGUACUUAGACUUUCUAGUGCAUCAGCAACAACAGCCGUGGUGAGCCCUCUUCUUUUAAGGAUGAGCUACCUUCUAUUCAGUUAUGUUAGUAGUUCAGUCAUUUGGUCUAUCGGAGUUAGUUGUGGGUUUGUCGAUAAACUCUAUAAUCAGACAGUUUAGAGGCUUUCAGACUAUUACAGACAUUCUACUCAAUUUUUAGUUGUUUUAUAAGUAUGUUUCCAGACGUUUUAAACCAUAUUUUAGUAUUAUUUUCAGUUAUUAAAACGUUAUGGCAUUUCGUUAAAAAUUUGCAUAUAUUGUUUAUCAGUUUUAUUCAGUACUCACAUUAGGUACUAGCUCAUGGGUUAGCUUAUGGUCUCAUGGGACCAUAAGCAGCAUGUGGCACCCAGGGUGUACUCCUGAGGCAUUACAUGGAUCUAAACAACCAGUGUUAGUACCCGUGGCAAGUUACUAAUACCCUUCUAACUAUGACUAUAACUUAGACCUCGAUAUGCUCAGACUGAGGCAUAUUGGUUAAAUUUUAGCUCCGAUAGUUUCAAUUUAAUAUUUAGAUUAUAUCAUCUUGGUUUGCAUGACCAAGUGUUCAAUUUAUCAAUUAUUCAGUUAUCCAGUUUUGUAGAUUAUUUUAGCGCAUGCUUUACAUGGUCAUGCAUUUAUUUUAUAAGUUCCUCAUUAAUGCACAGUACCUAUAUGUAUUACAGUUGGUCCUUAUCUCACAUAUGAGUAUAUUUAAAGUAUUGAUCGCAUACUCUCUUUUGCACUAUAUUAAUUUCAAAAUAUAGGUGCUGAUGCUCAGUUCCCAUAUCACACGUAGUUCAUUCCUGUAUCACUUAGCUGUAGCUUUGGUUACUCCUCAUUAGUCAAGGACUAUUUAUAUUAUUUAUCAUUUUUUCUGGUACUUUAUUUCAUUUUAUUUCAGUAGUCAGAGUUUGUUAGGGUCCUGUCCAUACAACUCCUCAUAUUUAAAGGUUUUCAAACAGUUAGAAAGUUAACAUGUUUUUAAUAAGGACUAUUCAGCACCUUUAUUAUUGUUUUAACAUUCAGAUAUUUUCAUGAAUUUUUUUGGAUGAGGUGGUGAGAGGCGUGCCUAGUUCUGACAAAAUUGUUGUAGUAGAAGAUUUAAAUAGACAUAUCGGGGUGUUAUUGAGAGGCUAUGGUGAUAUGGAUGGUGGUUAUGAUUUUAGGGAUGGGAAUAAUGAAGGAGUUGCCCUGUUGAAUCUUGUGAGGUCCUUUGGGAUGGUGGUAGUGAAUUCAAGCUUUCCAAAAAGGAGGAUCACCUGAUCACCUUCUGAAGUGCAAUAGCCAAGACCCAGGUUGACUUUCUGCUACUUAGGAAGGGGGAUGAGGUGCUGUGUAAGGAUUUUAAGGUCAUUUCAAGUGAGAAACUUUUGACGCAGCAUAGGCUUCUGGUGAUGGACCUGGGUUUAAAGAAGAAUAAGAAGAGAAGGGGUGGGGAGGGCUGGCCUAGAAUAAAGUAGAGGGGGCUUAACACCGGUGAGUGCACUAGAGAUAGAGGAGAAGGUGGUGGAAUUGAGGGUAUGGGACUGUAGGGGGGACGUGGAUGGUAUGUGGUAUAGGGCGACCAUGUGCAUCAAGAAGACUUCUAGAGAGGUAUUGGGUGUCUCGAAGGGCCCGGCUGGUCAGUGUCGGGGGGACUGGUGGUGGAAUAAGGAUGUAUAGAAGAAAAUAGAUGCUAAAAAUGAGGCGUAUGCUAAGUUGGUUGAGAGUAAGAAUGAAGAGGAUAACCGGGUAAAUAGGUAGGAGUAUAAGUUAGUUAGGAGAGAGGUCAAGUUAGUAGUUACGGCUACUAAGACGAUAAUAUUUAAGAGCUUGUAUGCGGGAUUAGAGAAGAAAGACAGGGAAAAAAGGUUGUAUAAGUUUGCUAAGGCUAGGAAGAGGAAGAGUCAUGACCUUGAUCAAGUAAAGUAUAUUAAGGGAGAGGAUGGUAGUGUGCUGGUGGAGGAUGUUCAUAUUAAGAGAAGAUGGUAGUUAGAUUUUCAUAGACUCUUGAAUAAUAAUGGGGACAGAGACAUUGUGUUAGGAGAGAUAGAGCACUCUGUGGGGUGUCAUUAUUUUAGCUAUUAUAGACGUUUUAAGGUAGAGGAAAUAAGCGAGGCUAUUUAUAGGAUGUUAAGGGUUAGGGCGAUGGGGCCUGAUAAGAUUCUUGUGGAUUUUUGGAAGUUUACUGGAAAGGCUAGUUUAAGGUGGUUAACUAAAUUAUUUAACUGCAUCUUUAAGACUACAAAAAUGUUUGAGGCUUGGAGAUGGAGUACCAUGAUUCCCUUAUAUAAGAACAAGGGUGACAUCAAGAGUUGCAACAACUAUAGGGGUAUUAAGUUGUUGAGUCACACUAUGAAGAUUUGGGAGAGAAUGGUCGAGCGGAGGUUGAGGAGGAUAGUGUCUAUUUUGGAGAAUCAGUUUCGAUUUAUGCAUAGUCGCUCGAUGAAUGAGGCAAUUCACCUAGUGUGGAGAUUGUGGAGCAGUAUAGAGAAAGGAAAAAAGACCUUCACAUGGUGUUUAUCGACUUGGAGAAGGCAUACCAAAAAGUCCCUAAGGAGGUUCUGUGGAGAUGCUUGGAGGUGAGUAGGGUCCUAGUUGGAUACAUCAGAUAGAUUGACAUAUAUGAUGGAGUAAAGAAUCAGGUAAGGACGGUGGAAGGAUAUUCAGAGCAUUUCCCUAACUUAACAAGGUUGCAUCAGGGAUCGACUCUUAUCCCAAUUUUAUUUGUGUUGGUGAUGGAUGUGUUGACGCGGUGUAUUUAAAGAGAGGUGCCUUGGUGUAUUUUUUUUUACAGAUGUAGUAUUGAUUGAUGAGAUAUGGGGAGGUAUAAAUAAUAAAUUAGAGGUUUGGAGACAAGCCCUUGAGUCUGAAGGGUUCAGGUUGAGUAGAAGCAAGACUGAGUAUAUAUAAUACAAUUUUAAUGACUGGAGACAGGAGGAUGAGGUGGUAGUAAGGUUGGCUUCCCACGUUGUUUGUAGGAGGGAUAGUUUUAAAUACCUCGGGUCAAUGAUUCAGGGGAAUGGUGAGAUUGAUAAGGAUAUCUCCCACCAUAUUGGGGCAGAAUGGAUGAAGUAGAGGCUCGCCUCAGGAGUGUUGUGUGAUAAGAAGGUGCCACCUAAAAUUAUACAAAAAUUCUAUAGAGUGGAAGUCCAUCUGGCCAUGCUGUAUGGAUCGGAGUGUUGGCCAGUCAAGAACUCCCAUAUUUAAAAAUUAAAGGUAGUAGAAAUGCGGAUGCGGCAAUGGAUGUGUGGGCUUACUAGGGGUGAUAGGGUUAGGAAUGAGACUAUCUGAGAGAAGGUUAGGGUGGCUCCGGUGGAGGAUAAGAUAUGGAAAGUUCGGCUGAGAUGGUUCGGGCACAUAAUGAGAAGGGACACAGAUGCCUCAGUUCUUAGGUGUGAGACGCUAGCUUAGGAUGAUUUCAGGCAGGGUAGGGGUAGGUAGAAGAAAUAUUAGAGAAAGGUGAUUAGAAGUGACAUAGAUCAAUUACAUCUUUCUAAGGACAUGGCCCUGGAUAGAAAGGUUUGGAGGACGCGAAUUAGGAUAGAAGGUUAGUACAUAUGGGAAGUUCGUAGUUAGAAAUUAGGGGAGCAUUGGGGUAGAGGGGUAUGAGAGUGGGGGGUGCCUUUGGUUCAUUAGGGUAGGGUAUUAAUUUGUGAGUGUCUUAUAUCUAUUGUUACAUCUUGUUGCAUGCUUUUAUUAUGAUUUUGUUUAUUAUUCAUUAUCCUGAGCCGGGGAUCUAUCUAAAGUAGCCUUUCUACUUCUCUGGAGGUAGUGGUAUGGACUACAUAUAUCUUACCCUCCCCAGAUCCCACUAUAAGGGAAUACACUGGGUUUGUUGUUGUUAUAGCCUAUUUUUCUUAUUACACCUUUCACCUUCCCAUUCUUAUUACAACGAACCUAUUUUAGCCCUAGUCCUUCUUGGACAUUGUGCACCUUAACUUAGGUAAAUCGCCUAAGUUAAGGGUGGCUAUCAUAUGGGUGUGUAUGUGAAGUGGUAUGAAGAAAGGUAAAAUAAAAGAAAAUAAGUAGGGAUGGGUGUGGUAGAAAAAGAAAAAUUGUGAAAAAUAGAAAAAUAAAAAUAAAAGAAACCACACACAACCUAAAUGUGCAAUAAACAAUAAAAAGGGAGAAAUACAGGUGGAAUAAAAAUAAAUUGGUUAAUAAGUGGACGCUAGAGUAAGUGUAGUACCAUGGAGGAUUAGUCACUAAAAUGUCCAUAUGUACCAUACUAGUCCCCAAGCUUACAUUACAAGUUGAAUGAUCCUAACCUAACUCUCUGAAAGCUAAGGUAAAGAAAACAAACGCAAGCCUGUGGUAUUUCCUGCGUAUUGGUGGAACUUCUCUUUUGAGUUUGAGUGUUUCUUGAUCAUCCCCUCAUUGACAUUCAUGAUUUCAUAUGAGUGAGCAAGACUUCUUUGUUGUGAGAGCACAUGGGCCGUAUUUCUAGCUGCUUACUUGUUUGGGUAUAUGCAUGGUUGUUUGUUAGUAAUGUAAUGUCAUAUCAUGAUUCCCUCGUGUCAUAUUGGAAUGCAUCAUGUAUACACACAACUGGUUUUGACAUGUUUAAAUAGGAUGGGGUAACGUUUUAAGCUUGAAGUUGAUGAUUGACUCUUAUAGAUAGGUUAGGUUUCUCCUAGCUAAACAUAAUUGUUUUGUUGUAUUGUGUUUCCUGCGGAUAUCCAAACAUUCUAAGUUGAUGGUGUUGAUGUGUUAUGGUCUCAUAACACUUUUGACACUAAAACAAUUAAAAUAUGAGAGUUACUUAGGUCUUUUUGUUAGGUGUGAUGUGUUUUGUGUUGUGUUUUGCGGGAAAUCAGUUAUGGAACUAUUCAAAAGAAAAUGACUAAAAAUUAAAGUUUUUGACCACUUAAGUGGGCACCUACGGACCGUAUGUACUACCUAUGGGGCGUAGGGAGAUUUUUAUUUUAGUUUACUUAUUUAUAUGGCAUCGUGGAAUGAACAUGAUCUUAGUGGUUGAAAAUCUUAUCUUGAUGAUCCAUAUCCAUAUUGUGAUCAACCUUACUUUUGGAAAGAUUGUAGAUAUGCUCCCCGGAGAGAGAUGUGUGCACCAUCUCCAUCCUACCAGGAGUAUGAUUGUUCUCUAUGUGGUGGUCAAGAUGGACAUUGGAGUGAUUUCCUAAAUGCCCCCUCCCCCCAUUGUGCUAACCCAAAUUCUAGUUCUUCUUAUGAUUUUGAUAGGUUUUUUGGUUAAGAAAAGAAAGAACGAAGAACCGAAAAGAGUGGUAUUGAAGCUAUGCUUCAACUAAUGUUGGAUCUUAUGGACACAACGAAUGAUAUCAUAUGUGAUACAGUUAAGACAUUAGGGCGUUUAACAAGGAAAGAGAAAUGGUAGGGGAGAUGGAUAUCGAGGUCAAUCAUCCAAAGCACUCUCUACAUUAUGUUUAGAUGAUAUCUUAUCUGUGAAAUCAUUUAGACUAAUCGAAGAGUGUGAAUAUGAGGAGCAAGAGUCCUAUACUGAUGAUAAGCUUGACGUUGAUCAAACCUUGGAGAUUUCCUAACCAACCGAACCAACCAUGAGGGAUGAUGCCAAGAUUGGGAAAAUGGUGCAAGAGGCAAAAGAAGAAAUUAAGCACAAUCCUUGUGAAGACUCUAGUCCAUUUCGGGGUAAAGAUAAUAAUAGGGAUGCUGCUACGGAAGUAAGAGUUAGUCCUUAUUCAAGCCACUUUUCAACAUUAUGCAUGGUGGAUGUGAUGAAAGUCGAAUCACCCAAGCAAAUGAUGAAUAUUGAAAAUGAGGAGAAAAAUUCUUACAUUUUGGAGUUUAUCUUUCCAAAAGGGUAUACCACAACCCCAAUUGUAAAAGCCAAGAAGCCUAAAGAUCGAUGUCCAUUUAGUGGCUUAUUAAGAUCCUCACUGCUUCCCAAUGAGCCCACAUGAAAGUUUGAUGCAAAAUUGGGCAAGCGAUUCAAGUCUUUGAAGUAGUGUGAUAGAACAUUCCUUAUCAUGCCCUCAUAUUUUCCCAAUGGACCUAAAAGAUGUAAAGAUUAAAAGAUGGGCUAAUAAUUCAAAUCACCAAAGUGGAGGGAUAAAGGAUGACUAAAUGUUGUUGUGCCGCAACACUAAAUUAGGCGCUUCUUGGAAGGCAACCCAAGGUAUUUUGUUGUUUGUAUUUGUAUUACGUGAUUGACAUCAGAUCUUCGCACUCAUGGUGCCACAAGUAUGUUUAUAACUCUCUCAUUUUGGUUUAACGCAUUGGGGACAUUGCAUAAUUUUAAGUUGAGGGUAGAGCUACUUCUGGGUGUUGAUGUCCUCUUGGGGUUUUGUUGUCGUGCCUCUUUUCCCCGAAGUCUUGUUCCUAGUAAAGUCGGCAUGUUUAGGCGUAUUAUGUUUGUCUUGUGAUGUGUAGUGGUUAACUGGGGGAAAAAUAAGUAUCUAGGACAAUUGACAUAUUUUUGUUGAUUUUUCUUGGAAUGAUAAAUACCUCUCCAAUUGUCUACCUGGUAAUUGUGUGAUGUGCAUCUAUAUAUGACUAUUGUGAAUCUUUGUAUGGAAUUAGUACUAGGGACAUGAUAAUCACUGCUAACAACUGCAUAAACCGAAUGGAUAGUAGUGUGUGAUGUACCUUUAUGCUAUAUGUAUGUAAGAUACUACCUAGUUCCCGUUGUGUGUUAAAUCCAGAACUUGCUCAAUUGGUCUUGCCUUGGUUGUAGGAUAAUAGUUAGGAAAGGAUCAUAGGCCGUUGUUGAUAUUAGUCCACUUUUAGCUUAAAUGACCUUCCAUGUGUGAAUAAUAUCCCUUGAUCCUGAUUUUGAUCCUGAAUGCCUAUUCUUUUUAUUAUACUUAUCACCUUUCCAUUUGUAUCACAAUGAACCUAUUUUGUCCCUGAUCCUUCUUGGAUAUUGUGCACUUUGACUUAGGCAGAUAGCUAAGUUGAGGGUGGCUAUCAUAGGGGUGCGUGAUGUAAAAUGAGUAUGAAGAAGGGUAAUAAAAAUAUAUAUAUAUAUAUACAAAGCUGGGUAUGGUAGAAAAAGAAUGUGAAAAGAAAAGUUGUGGAAAAGAAAAAUGAUUGAUUAAAUGACCACACCCAUCCUAAAUUUUCUUAAUCAAGAAAGGGAGAAAUAAGGUUAAGGUUGAUAAGUGAGACCCCCCCCCCCCCAAAGAAUAUAGUGUAGUGCCAAGGAGUCUUAGUUACUUUAAAUAUCCUUGCGUAUCAUACCAUCCCUAAGCCUACAUUACAAACUGAAGAAAAGUCCUAUAGUGAUCCUAACUUAACUAUCUAAAAGCUUCGGUAAUGAAAAUAAGGGCAAGCUUAUGGUAUUUGACAUAUAUUGACUGGAACUUCUUACUGAGAGUGAGUGUCUCUUGACCAUCCCUGCAUUUACAUGCUUGAUUUUAUAUAUGGAUGAGGAGGGACUUCUCUGUUGUAAGGGCACAUUGUUUGCAUUGCUAGUUUCCUAUUUGUUGGGUAGUGUAAUUUAUAUAUAGGCAUGGUUAUUGUUGCUAAGUUGAUGCCAUAUCUUGAUCCUUUCUGUCACAUUAUUGGUCUUUAUGGAUAUACACAGAUGGGUUUAAAGUGAUUAAAAAUGGAGAGGGUAAUGUGUUUUGAACUAAAAUUGAUGAUCAAUAUUCAUAGGUAUCUUAUGUGUCUCUUGGUUAUGCAUCGUAAUGUUGUGUUUUAGUUGCUUGAGGACAAGCAAUUGUUUUAAGUUGAGGGUGUUGAUGUGUGAGCAGAUGCUAACACAUUCAAGGCUUUUAACUAAGAAUAAUUGCAAAGUCUUAAGCAACUUUUAUCGUUUUUGAUUGUUUUAUAUUUGAUUUUGUAGUAGAAGCUAAUAUGAUAUAGAACCAACAAGAAUGAAAGCAAAGAAGUUGAAGUCUGAAGAAAAGUGUGGCUGACGACAUUUGUGAUAAGUCAUCAUCCCCGUGAUAAGCUAUCAGCUUCAUCGUCAGCAAAUAGACAGAGAAUUGGCUUAAGUUGAAAGCUAUGAUGACAAUUUGUGAUAGGUUGUCAAGAGUUUGAUAAGCUGUCAAGAAUGUCGUCAGCCUAAGGCAGCACAAGAGAACUGAAGCAGAGCCUUGAUGACAUUUUGUGAUAGUUCGUCAAGGAGCUGAUAAGUCAUCAAGAUUGCCGUCAGCCUUAAGCAGGAAGAUCCAAAACUAAAGAAGGAGUUGACGACAUUUGUGAUAAGUCGUGAGCCUCCUGAUAGGCUAUCACAAAUGUCGUCACCUAAUCCGAGGAUUUUUAAAAUUUUAUUAUUUUGUUUCCUUAUUUAGGGUGAACUAUUUAAAGCCUUGUUUGGGGUUUUCUUGGAGAGGUUCCGAACCUUGAGUUUUAAGACACGAUACUUUGAUAUUUUCUCUCUCUAACUUCUUGGCUUGAAAAAACAAUUACUUUGAAGAGAAUUUAAUCAUUAUUUUGGGAUUUUCUGUUGUGAUCUAAUCUGAGAUUCACUAGUUAUUAUUCAUCUUGUGGCAAGUUUGUCUUUCAAAACAUGAAUUUAUCUAGUUGCUUCGAUUGUUACAUUAUGCAUGGCUAAAUUCCUUUAACCUGAAUUAUGGGAUGUAGGGUUAGGUCUUGAUAAGGUCAUGGGUGUUCAGGAUUCGAAAGGUGGUAGGAUUUCUUGAUAAUUCUGAUGUUUUAAUUAUUGUCUGUUGGUUGCAAACAAUAGAUAACACCUACUUUGAUUUGCAUGAGAAAGAAAUCAAAUAUAGUGGGAAGUGAAUUAUCAACAGGGACUUGAAAAUACUAAACUUUCAUUUAGUAAUCAGCGCUGUAGCAAGGUUGGUUAACCUGAGGUAAAAUCUGACAUUGGAUAUAAGUUCCCCAAGUCCGAGAGGAUUAGGUAAUUCAAUGCUUAAGUAGGUCGGCAGACAUUUAAGCAUAACUUCAAUAAAGAUAACUUGCUGUCCUACCUACCGUUAGAGUCUUGAACCACUAGUAGCAUCUGUCAAUUACCAAAAAUCCCUAGUGAACAUAAUUUUGGAUUUUCCAUAAACUCUUGAUUACAAACUGAAACUAAGGUGACCAAAAAUUAUUUGCUAAUCUCCAAAACCCCUAUUUUAUCUUUUAGUGCCAGUUGUUUGAAUUCAACUUGUAGCUAUAGUUUCAAAUUAGUUUAAUUGCCACUCACAUUGUUCCCUGUGGAUUCGAUCCCGACUCCAAAAGUUGGGUAAAUAUAUUGACGACGACUGUCUUGCACUAAAUUGACGUGUAAGUUCAGUGUUAUCAAAAACCAACUGCUCUUGAUAAAUAAAUUUGAGGUUGGACAAAAUUAGGUACGUCAAACUUUCUUUGCCCAGGGUUACUAGAAUUUGCCCUACCCCAAGGGAGAGGGCAUUUGUUGACACCUAAUUUUCCCUCUACGACUGGUUUUAACUCAGAGUUUCUUCAGUUUUAAAUAAGAUCAAAAUGUUAUUUAUCUAGAUAAUGACUUACUAAAAUAAUUAUUUGAGUUAAAUAUAUCAUUUAUGCGACGAUUAUACAUUUCCAUAUUUAUUUAUGAGAACAUAUAAUUUGUGUUGAUUAAAUAAUUAUUUUAUUCAAAAUCAGCUUUUAAUCGAGAAUUAUUUUGAAAAUUAGCUCAAAUUAGUAAAUCUUGAUUUGAAUAUAAUUUGUUCUUAAAAUAAUCUAUUUGAAAAAUAUAGGUUUGAUUUUAUUAAAUCAAGAAGCUCAAGCUUAAAUAGUUUGUUAAUUUGUUUCAAAAUUUGAUUUAGUUUAGCUAAUUUAUAAAAUUUGAUCCUAAUUGAAAUCAAAUUGACCAUAACUCCAAUUGACUAGUUGAUUUUUAAUGUGGUUAAAAUCUAAAUGUAUUGGAAUGAAUUCUCAAUUUUAAGGUUAUUUAGCAAUUAGCCAAAUUUCUUAAAUGAUUAUUCCUAAUUCUAACCACUUUGAUAACAAAAAAGUUAACCAACCCAGGCCCAAUCCCUUAUAAACACCAAUCCAGCCCAACCUUAUAACUCCCUUGUUCAUCAUAUCAGUGUACAACAAUAAUAGCUAGACAACAUGAAAACAUCAAUGUCAGUAGUGUACAACACCAGCGAAACUAUCUAUUUUCUCUUACUGCUUUUAUUUUUCCCUCUCUUUCUUUCAUCGUGCUAAGCACAAGAUUGUAUGUGAAGCUUCUACAAAAAACUCCAAUAGUUUAUUCUUCUUUUUUCAAGAUUUUUUUUUCUAAUUUGAAUUUCAAAAUUUAUACUAAAAGGGUACGAUUCCAGCUCAUCCUUAUCCUUAUUCAAGAAUUCCCUAUAACAAUACCCAAUUUCUAUAUUCAUAAUCUCAUCCCUAAAGCCCCAAUCUCAUUCCUAUAAAUACCCUACUAUUUCUACAUUUAUGAUAAAAGUCGAAGAGGAAGGAAUUAGCUGAGAACCCUAAUUGAGAAGGGGAUUUUGUAUAAUUCAAAGUUUCUAGACUCGAAUCCAUAUAAGUCUGGUUUUAUCUUUGAAUUUCAGCUAAGAAAUAUGUUGUUUUUUGGUGGUGGCAAGAAUUCCUAUUAAAAUUUGUAGUUCAAUUUGUUUCCCAAAAGAAAGUAAAAACCCUUCCCUUUUUAUUGUGUUUUUUUAACUGAUGUGGUGCAAGUAUGAUUCUUUGAUUCAUUUUUGUUUCUACUAUGAUUAUUUAUCAUGAUUUUCUUUUUAUUGAUUGGGUUUUGCCAUUUGUAAGAUGGAUGUGUUGAUGUGUUUGAUAUCUAGAUUGUUAUAUAAUGGUUAUAUACUUCUUUAGUGAUAUAUGAAUUUUCUAAAAUAUGGAAUCUAUAUGUGUUUGUUGGAAUGAGAUUACUGUUACGAGGUUUUUGCAUUUAAAGAUGAAGCUAUGAUUAUUAGAAAUGGGAGAUGCCGAAUUUUGUUUAGUCCUAUACCUACUUUAAGAAGUGAUCUUGUAAUUUUUGUUAAAUACUAAAGUCCAAGUCCCUUAAAUAUUUUAUUUUUAGUAUUAAAUCUAGUAUUACUUCUUGAAAAAUUUUCCUUUUUGUUGAGUUUUAGUCCGGUACAAAUCCUCUCCAUGAUUAAUGAUUUGAUUUACAAAGUGGAGACAACAGAACUCUUUGUUGAAUUAUGAAGUUCAGAUUUAGAUUUUAGAUCUGUUUACACGAUGGUGUUCGGCCUGAUGUAAGAAUUUCAACUCUAAUCCUUGGUGCAUUCUGUUCACAGUAUCUCUCUUUGGAAUGUAUUUACUGAAUGUUUUAUUGUAGUUAAGUUCUUGAUAAAAAUAUAAUGUGACUAUGCCUAUGAGGAUUUACUAGUUGUGUUCUCUUUCAGAUAGUUUUCUUCUCGAAAUUUGUCCUUUUUUGGUCUAUAUGAUAGUAAGAUUAAAACAUACAUGAUAAUUCAAAUGAAUUAAAGGUCUUAUUGUUAAGCGUAGCUUGAGAUAUUCAUUAUUUGGUUUCAUACAUAUUUUGAUGCUGCUUUCAUGUGUCAAAUUAGUAGUUUCAUUUGUGUGUUAUUACAAGUAAAUAUGAUUUUCAACCUAAGUUGCUCCCUGGUCCGAUAAGAGAUUAGAUCUUUGCCUUAUCUUUUGAAACAAUUUGUUUCCCAUGUCCGUUUCAAAGCUAAUUUUUAAAUAGCUUAAUUUAUUCAAGCAAAAUCAGCAUCCUUGAAAUUAUUAGCUUUUCUCCUAUCAUUUUUAUUAAGUUUCAUAACAGUACGUUCAUUUCAUAAUUUAGCUACUCAGUGUGUUUUAAUAUCAACUCCCUUUAUCUUAAUUUACUUCAAGUCUAAUUCCAUAUUUGUUUUUUCGUCACUAGUUUGUUAUGUGUUUGAUUGAUUAAGUGUGUUUUAGUGUGAGUAUUAAUUCUUCUCCCCCCUAUUGGGUGAAACCACCCAAGAUGAGUUCAUACGGACUCGACCCUUUUCUUGCAUACCCCUUCGAGUCAAAUCUCAUCCAAAAAGAAGCAAGUUUGCAAGGCCGAAGAAGUAAAUGAUUACUGCAAGAAAAAAGAGUUAGCAAGCUAGCAGUAAACAACGAGAAGCUGUGUUUUGGGUCUAAAAACCAUUUUAUCCUUUAUUUGUUAAAUGAUAUCAUUCAUGUAGUCAUUUUAUCAAUAUAAUACAUCAAAUUUUUAAUUUAAUUCGGAUGAAUACCCAAAAGAAAAUUAUAAAUAACUUAUUUCCUAUAUUGAUUGUAUACUUUCAAGUUAAUAUUUAUGUCUUCAAACAUGUUUCAUUUAGUCCAUAUACGUAAAAUCUGACACUAACUUGAGAAUUAUUCAUAUUCUUUGUUAGUUAGUAGUUAGCUAGGAAUCCAUGUUUGAUAAUUUGGGAUAAUUCUUUUAACUCAUAAAUAGGAAAUUGAAUGAAUUAUUAAAGUUAGAAUUAUUUUGAAACUUUGAUAUUUUUUUUCAUUAUUUGGGAUAAAUUGAAUAGAAUAUUUAGUUAUUAAUCCUACACUUUCAAAUGAGGUUUUUUUUAGCAAUUUAAAGAUUUAUUUAUUUAUUUAUUUUCUAAAAAAUAUUAUAAGAUUUUUCAAAUAACUUAACAAUUUUUCAAAGUUUAGCAAAACAAGUUUAAUCCAUUGCAAAUAAAACUUUAUGGAUCUUCAAAAGUGUCUAACACCUUUUUUCAAAUAUAACUUAAAUUCUUACCUAGAUUCUGGUUUUCAAUAAAAAAUUUUUAUUCAAAAUUCCUUUGCUUCAAUGAUUUUCUUAGUUUCCUAAAAAUUAAGUGGUGACUCCAAAUUAUUUUUCAAAUAAAAUCAAAUAGAAUUUUUUUCCAUGAAGUUAUAAAGUUUUUGACUCUUCGAAAACCUCAUAACAACAGCAUCACAAGCCUCUGCCUCGGUCUUUCUUGGGAAGGCAUAACAGUGAUCUCUAUUAUCGAUAUGAGCAACCUUCUUAGCAAAAUACACAACACCUCACCCUUAUUUACCACUACCUUGGUUUCCACCACAGCCUUCCUAACGAUUAACCCAUCAACGCUAUGGAUGAUCCUUACAAUUACCUCCCACCACCUCUACUAGUAGGAACAAUAACUCUAGUUUGUUUUUACCCCUUAACCCAUCCUGUAUCUAAGGAAAAUCCCUCUUGAACUGCCCCAUAGUACCAUAAGUAAAACAACACUGAUAUAAGAAAGGCAUGUUAGCUGAUGAAUAUGAGCUCCUUGGUUUCUAGCAAAUAAGGGUUACUGAGUGACCUCUGACUAACCCACUAUGGAAUCUAUCAAAUUUGACAGAAUAGGGUAAGCCAAAUAGUCCUGAUAGCUAUGACCCCUAAAUAAGAACCACCAACGGUACUCGUAUUUUAGGAUUUCUUUACCCGAACAUUGGCUUGGACUACCUAUGUGAUUCUUUCUACCUUCAUCAUAUAAUCAUAAACGUUAUCUAAUGUCUUCUCGCAAUAGUCUUCAACACAACUAAAACCUGCAAGUCAGUGUUCAAAGAUUUCACAUAAAGUCGCAUUCUUUUUUAUUCAGUACCAAGAAACUGAGUAGCAUAAUGAUAUAAGGUAUGAAACUCGGCCUCAUAGGAUGCAAUAUACAUAUUACCCUAUCCAAGGGCCAAAAACCCAUCCUUCUUAUAAUCACGAAUAGUAUGGGGUACAUACCUCUUCACAAAUAGAGUAUAGGACUAAGUGAUUUCAAUAGAGGUAAAGUUGAGACUGACAUUCCACAUAAACCCUCAUCACUGCUUUGAAUCACCUUGCAGUUGGAAGAAACAAACUCAAUACAAUGCUGCUACAUAAUACCUAUUCAAAUAGUCUCUUAUGACCAUCAGUAAUAAACUCAAACACAUCUUCAAUCUCAGAACCAAGUAAAGUAGGAGGUUUCAUUUUUAGAAACUUAUUUAUCAUGUCAUGUUUAGUCUUAGUCAUAAUAGGACCUAACAUUGUGUGAGGGAAAAUCCCAGUCUCCAAGGCCUCACCCACUUAGGAGCAAUAACAGUAGUCGGCUAAGCACCUAGAAAUUGAUAAGAAGGCAUAAUUUGAGUGUCUCUAAUACUACCCAAGCUACUCAGGAAAUAAAGCACUAGCUAAAUUAUCUCAAAAAACACCAGAGGAAAAUCUAUAUCCCUUGUUGCUGCUACCUCUUUCUUCUUCAUAACAUCUUCAUUCACAAACUUCUUAAAUUGAUCCUGGAAUGGGGGAGCUGUCUCAUAUAUCUGAUAGGCCAGAUUAGCCGCCGCUUGAGCUCCACCCCUGGUAGGUGUUACUAUACCUCUUCCUAUUUCCCUACCUCUUUCUCUUCUUCAAACAACAGGUUCUGCACCUAGAGUUUUCGAUUUAAAGGAUGCUGAUCUAACUCGGUUAGCUCUAGUGUUUACCAUCUAUGGACAAAUAAAUUAAGGGAUUUAAUUAUUAAUUUGGUAUCAAGUUAUAGCACAAAAUAAAAUAGAAUGUGAUAGUAUUCUAAAAUUUUAUAGACCCUCAAAGAAAAAGUACAAACAUCUCUAUACCAUUGCACAAGACUCUACUAGACCUAUUUAGUACAAUGAAAUCAACGAACCUAGGGAUAUAAUACAGAUUUUUCACAACACAAACCUUUUUUUGGUUUAAUUUUAUAUUUUAUUAAUAAUCAGCACUUGAUGGACCAACCCAUCAUACAACAAAAAAUCAGCCUAGCCCUAUUCACAUAACUCGGCCCAGCCCAGAUCCAUUUUAUUAACAUAUACAAAGAGUGGGGUUUCUAAAAACAAACUAGUUUCUUAAUCUUUAAAUUGUGUCUGACUCCUUCCACCAUGGUGCUCCCUUUCUCUAAUCUGAGGUUCAUCCUGUUGAUACUUUAGGUGAUUAAUACUGUGCCC
rnacentral:lncRNA from 1 species